rnacentral:lncRNA from 1 species
GCGGCUGCAGCGGCACAGCCACUGCCCGACGACGAUGACGAUCUGAUCGAGUAGAGAGAGGAUGAUGAGUCUGUCUGUCUUAUCAAUCAAUACUUUGAGAGCCAGAGACUGUGCGAGUCGGUUUUAGGUUGAAGGCUUGAUUUGGAGUAGUCAAGCCGGAUGUUUUUCCUGUCUGCCUUGCCUUGUCUGGUGGGCUGCAAACUGUUUGUGUGACAUUGAUCUACAUGAUGUUGCUUGCCAUGGAUUUGUUGUUGGCCACCUUGAUGGUUCAUCAGUAUUAUUAUGCCUGUUGGCUCAAAUGUGUGGAUCAUAUAUUUAUCUUGAGCAUCUGUGUGCUUGCUAUGCGUUUUGGGCUAAAUAGGUUCGCUGCUGGACAUUUCGAUGAAAGCAGCAAAAGGGAUUUUAUUUCUCUUUUUUUGAGCUGGUGAUUUUGUUUUGUCUCUAGAUAAACACAAUAUGUCUGUUGAAGAUCUCGGUCUUAUCAGCAUUUGAACGAAUCAAUAUUUAAAUCAUAAGAACAAUUCAAUUUCUUGACUGGGCAAAUUGAAGCCCAAAAGAGGAAGACCAUUGGUCAAAUCAUACCUUACCAAGGCUAGUAGUUCUGCUUAAGCUUGAGUUGCUCUUACAAAUCGUAAGAAGCAUGUCCCAAGAAGCGACACACAAGAAAAACCACAUCCAUAGGGUAAGCGCAAUCUUGGUUGGGUCAUCGAGCAUGAACAAAAAGAUAUCAUUCAUACCCACUUCUCCGAUGCCAUGGGAAAAGAGGGCUCUAGGCCAAAAGAUUUCAACUGGGAGGAGCUCAACCUUGACGUACGGGACUUGCAUGACCUUGAGGCCCCUUUCACCAGGAGGAGGUAUGGGAGGCCAUCAACCAAAUGCCAAAUGGCAAGGCACCCGCGCUGGAUGGGUUCAUCGGGCAUUUUUUUGGAAGUGUUGGGACAUUGUUAAGGUUGUACUCAUGAGAGCCAACCAUCAUUUUAGUAACCUCCAUGGUGUAAAUCUCCAAUGGUUAAACUCUGCAAACAUUGCGCUUUUGCCCCAGAAAGAGGUUUUUUUUUGAACGGGGAAAGGCACCCAUAGUGCCAACUUCAUUCAACUUAGUAACAAUGUACAACAUGAAAUACAACUCCCUGAAUGUUGCAAGAAAACAGAGUGGAGAUGACAGGGCCUGUUGAACUAAAACAACUAAAAACAGGUCCUGUUGCUCUGGUCAGAACCUGAUGAGCUACAUUGUGGGCUAUGCCAUUAAUCUCUCUGGAUAUAUGGAACACCUGCGAUUGCAACUGUCGAGUGGUGUUGUAGAACUCUGCAAUGAGCUUUCUGAUUGACCAAGGAAUCGCAUCAGCCAAGACAUUUUUGCUUGCUGCUGCUUUAGCCAAAGAGAGAUUAUCAGUGAGGAACAUAGGUUGGCUAAUCUGCAAAAGUUGAGUCACCCUCGCAGCAAGAACAAGGGCAUGCGCUUCCGCUUGUAAUGGGGAAAAGGUGGGCUCGGUCGAGGCUUGAAUUUGGACCUGCAUGCUCCUUUGAUCCUGCAAAAAAUUAAGAUAGACACCAAUACCCGUGGUUGUUUGUCCAUGCGUUAGACCUGGGAUCUUUGUGCAUUUAAAAGAAGCAUCAGAAUAAAUUUUUGCCCCCGAAAUAAGAAGAUCCGUCCUAAUAGCUUGUCCCUGCAGCGGCAAAAGAGUGGAGUUUGUAGUAUUUUGCUGAAGAGAAUAAGUCUUUGUGCCAUCAGGAGAGGCAUCAUUAAGUUUACUGCUUUCAUCCAACGCCAUUGUAGCCAUAAAAACCUGAUGAGGAGAAGAAUUUUUUUCUACCAAAAAGGCAAUCAUUCCUUGAUUUCCAAAUGCACCAUAAGAAAUUAAAAAUAUUUGGGAUUGAUGCAUGAGAGUGAUUCAUGGUCAUAAGAGCAUGGAUAAGAGCCUGUAUAGAAUGAUGAACUUCAGUUAAGAUAUCAGUCCUAAGAUACCAAGGAUGCGCAAACCAUGCAGCUCUAGCAAAUGCACAAUUGAAAAACAAAUGCAAUUCAUCCUCAUCUUGAGCACAGCGACAACACUCUUUAUCAAUAUGACUAGAGAAACGAGAUGCUCUCAAACUUGUAGGGAGGGCCUUGCGAAGUAAUCUCCAAGCAAAUGUUUGAACCCUAGGAGGCAUAUUGUUGUGCUUCCAAACCUGCUUGAGUAAAUCUUUGACUAGUGUAGAGACCUGACCAGGUUGAUUCCUGGGAUGUCUUUGAAUAUCCUGCAAACAUAACUUGUAUGUACUUUUAGCGUUGCACUUACCAUUAGGCGUGAGAUCCCAACAUAAUAUAUCCGCACAAUCAUCUGGCAUAAUAUUAGUUUGAGUAAUGAUUGUUGCAGUAGGCUCCUGGAAAAUAGAGCGAAUUAAAUCAAUGUUCCAGACUUUUUGACCUGCAAUCCAAAGAUCUCUAAUUUUAGCAGGGUAAGUGAAGUUGUUAGGUUGGAUGAUGAGAUGAUCAUGAAUAUCAGACCAGGCUGAACACCAGGGAGUACUCCAUAUGGAAAUGUUUCCUUGCGUGAUUUGAUAAAAGAGUGUGCUUUUAAUUUAGGGAGCAACUUGAUAACAGAGGACCAAAAAGAAGAUUUAGGGGUAUUGGAAGUGGCAGUCCAGAAAGAGGAACCCGAAAAGUACUUAGAUUUGAGAACAAGAUGCAAUUGAGAAUUUGGGGAGUUUGCAAUUCUCCAAGCCGAAGCCAAGAUUAAACCUUGAUUCAUAGGUUGAAGGUUUCUAAUACCUAGACCCCCUUCUUGCUUAGAUGUGCAUAUAUCCUUCCAAGCUCGAAGGCAAAGACCUCUUGAAGAACUGUCUUCUCUAAUUCCUGUCCACCAAAAAGUUCUAAUGAUAGCGGUAAGUUUAGCAAUGAACUUUUUGGUAAACAAUAUGUUAGACAUGUAAUAAACUGGAAUGGAAGAGAGAAUUGAUCUAAUUAAUUCCAAUCUAGCUGCAUGGGAAAGCAUGUUGGCCUUAUAUCCUGGAAGUUUAGCCAAAAAUUUGUCCAACACAAAGUUGUAAGCAGUUGACCUGUUCUUAGCAGGAAGAAUAAGAGGGUGGCCAAGGUGAGUGAAAUUCUCAUCCAUGAUAGGGACAGGGAAAACUCUUUGAAUGUCAGAGAUCACCGUCUGAUUAACAUGAGCACUAAAAAGAAUUGCAGAUUUGGCCCAAUUAGGAGUCUGACCCGAGGCAGCACAAAAUUGGUGAAGAAUUUGAGCCAUGGCUUGAGCUUCCCCCAUACUUGCUUUUUCGCACACAAGAAGGUCAUCUGCAAAAAGUAGUGAGUGGACAGGAGGGCAAUUUGGCCCAAGGGUGAUACCCUCAAGAUUGUUAGCAGCCAAAGCAUCAUUAAGGGCAAGCGAAAGUUCAUUAACUGCUAGAACAAAGAGAUAAGGAGAGAGAGGGCAACCCUGUCUAAUACCCCUUUCACUUCUGAAUCUAUGAGAAGCUUGGCCAUUAAUAAUGACGGAGAAAACCGGAGUAGAGAUGCAAGCAUAUAUUAAAUUGAUGAAAUGCACAUGGAACCCUUUACGCGAGAGAGCAGAGACAAUGAAGUUCCAUUCAACACGGUCGAAAGCUUUAGCAAGAUCAAUCUUAAGAAGGAAGGCUUGAUGUUUCCAAGAUUUUAAAGCAAAAGUGUGAGUGAUCUCCUAAGCAAUAAUGAUGUUAUCACUAAUUCUACGCCCUUCUAUAAAAGCUUGCUGCGAAGGAUCAAUAUAAUCAGGAAGAUGAGGUUUGAGCCUAUUAGCUAAAGAUUUAGCAAUGAUUAUAUGCAUAUUAGCCUCAUUUAUGCCGUUGCAAAAAUCAUUGCUAAGAUACUAGCCAUCCGCCUUCGUAUGCACAUGAACUCUCUUGUUUCUAAUGCCCGAAGUGUGAUUAUCAAGAGAAGGGCAUUCAUAAUAAUUUAAUGUACGUGAAGAAUCUUGCCAGCCCGUUGCACACUAGGACGACCCUCACUCUUAUCUUCAAGCUUGCUUAAUAUUCACAAGGCCUCCUUUGACUAUGUGAAGUACGAGUACAUCAUUGCCCUACUCCAGAAAAAGGGUUCCAAAGCAAGUUUAAGGAUUGGAUCACCGCCCUAGUUUCCACAUCCUCCUCGAGGGUGCUUUUAAACGGGGUGGUCGGACCUCCAAUCUAGCAUGGUCGUGGGUUUCGACAAGGUAACCCCCCCUCCUUUUUGUCAUCGCAAUCGCUCCCCUCCAGCGCGUGCUUGACUUGGUAACAAGGCAUGGUCUUCUCCACAAGAUCAUGGUCGGGGCACCAUCUUCAUGUAGAUGAUGCAGGAUGUUCAUGGGCCCAAUCGAGUGUGAUAUCUAUACACCAACUCCCACAAGUGCUCCAUGGUCCCAAUCGAAUGCGAUCAUUUAAACCUUGAGCCAAUCCUCCAAAGUUUGUCGGCUACUCAUGCUUCCUUCCCGAUAACAUACUUGGGCCUUACGCUUUCGGUUUGGCAACUCAAGAAGGUGGACUUCCAAUACCUUGAGGGCAAAAAUGCAUUAAGUCUUGUCCCUUGUGAGUUAAAAAUAUUACUAACAUUGGCCGCUGAUGGUAUCCUGGACUAGAGGGUGCUCACCAUGUCAUCUCUCGGCCAGGAGGGGCGGGUGAUACGUCUCCAACGUAACUAUAAUUUUUGAUUGUUCCAUGCUAUUAUAUUAUCCAUCUAGGAUGUUUUAUAUGCAUUUAUAUACACUUUUAUAUCGUUUUUGGGACUAACCUAUUAACUUAGAGCCCAGAGCCAGUUUCUGUUUUUCCUUGUUUUCGAGUUUUACAGAAAAGGAAUACCAAACGGAAUCCAAUUGACGUGCCAAUUUCUGACGAAUUUUUAUGGACCAAAAGAAGCCCCGGGAGUGCAAGAGUUGGGCCGGGAGAGUCCCCCAGGGCGCGCCCCCUGCCUCGUGGACAGCCCGAAGCCCCCCCCCUAACGUGAAACAUAUGCCAAAAAUUCCUAUAAAUACUGAAACCUCUAGAAAAGAACCUAGAUCGGGAGUUUCGCUGCCGCAAGCCUCUGUAGCCACCAAAAACCAAUCGGGACUCUGUUACGGCACCCUGCCGGAGGGGGGAUCCCUCACCGGUGGCCAUCUUCAUCAUCCCGGCGCUCUCCAUGACAAGGAGGGAGUAGUUCACCCUCGGGGCUGAGGGUAUGUAUCAGUAGCUAUGUGUUUGAUCUCUCUCUCUCUCGUGUUCUUGAUAUGGCAUGAUCUUGAUGUAUCGCGAGCUUUGCUAUUAUAGUUGGAUCUUAUGAUGUUUCUCCCCCUCUACUCUCUUGUAAUGGAUUGAGUUUUCCCUUUGAAGUUAUCUUAUCGGAUUGAGUCUUUAAGGAUUUGAGAACACUUGAUGUAUGUCUUGCCGUGCUUAUCUGUGGUGACAAUGGGAUAUUCAUGUGAUCUACUUGAUGUAUGUUUUGGUGAUCAACUUGCGGGUUCAAUGAAGUUAUGCAUAGGGGUUGGCACACGUUUUCGUCUUGACUCUCCGGUAGAAAUUUUGGGGCACUCUUUGAAGUACUUUUUGUUGGCUGAAUAGAUGAAUCCGAGAUUGCGUGAUGCAUAUUGUAUAAUCAUGCCCACGGAUACUUGAGGUGACAUUGGAGUAUCUAGGUGACAUUAGGGGUUUGGUUGAUUUGUGUCUUAAGGUGUUAUUCUAGUACGAACUCUAGAAUAAAUCGAUCAGAAAGGAUAACUUUGAGGUGGUUUCGUACCCUACAAUGAUCUCUUCGUUUGUUCUCCGCUAUUAGUGACUUUGGAGUGGCUCUUUGUUACAUGUUGAGGGAUAGUUAUAUGAUCCAAUUAUGUUAUUAUUGUUGAGAGAACUUGCACUAGUGAAAGUAUGAACCUUAGGCCUUGUUUCCUAGCAUUGCAAUACCGUUUACGCUCACUUUUAUUACUUGUUACCUUGCUGUUUUUAUAAUUUCAGAUUACAAAUACCUUUAACUACCAUCCAUAUUGCACUUGUAUCACCAUCUCUUCGACGAACUAGUGCACCUAUACAAUUUACCAUUGUAUUGGGUGUGUUGGGGACACAAGGGACUCUUUGUUAUUUGGUUGUAGGGUUGUUUGAGAGAGACCAUCUUCAUCCUACGCCUCCCACGGAUUGAUAAACCUUAGGUCCUCCACUUGAGGAAAAUUUGCUACUGUCCUACAAACCUAUGCAGUUAGAGGCCCAACAACGUCUACAAGAAGAAGGUUGCGUAGUAGACAUCAGCGGGCCAAGAAUCCCCUUCGCGGUUAAUUACUAGGCCUCUUCGGGCCGCCCAUGACGUAUACAAGGAAGAUUCCACAAGGCUUGCACACAACAUGAGGACUCUUCUAAAUCCUAGGCCUCUGGUACAUUAUAUAAACCGAUGCUAGGCUAGUCGAUAGAACAUAUUCUAUAGAUUCAUUCACACAUAUGAUCUUGAAGUAGAUCGAUCUAUACUUUGUACCCCAUCCACAAUCAAUACAAUACAAGUAGGACGUAGAGUUCUACCUCUUUGAGGGGGCCCGAACCUGGGUAAAUACCGUGUAUCCUUUUUUUCUUGUUACCAUAGUGCCAAGAUCACCAGCUCGGGACCCCCUACCCGAGAUCUGCCGGAUUUAGCUCCGUUAGCCGCAAUGCCCUCGUCAAGUCGGUUCUCACCUCGAAAACACACUUCACAGAAGCCAGUAGGCCAAUGAGAGCUUUUGUUUGGUCGGUGUCAGAUAAGACUACCAUGAACUCGGCAGCCCCGGCAUGCUCAAUCUUGAGAAGUUUGCUAGGGUUCUAGGAUUGCGGCGCCUUGAUAUGGGUGGAAGGAUCCAACCAAGAUGUGGGUGGAAAUGGGCAACCCUUGUAAUGAAAUGGACCUCGAUCUAUUCUAUGCCUCUACUACUAUUACCAUUGGCAAAUGGUGCGUGCAAGUAAUAAGGAAGCCCGAGGAUAUUGCACCUCUAAUCUUUGAAGUGUCAACAAGAAGGAAUUAGAAAGUGCAAGAAACUCUAAGGAAUGAUGCUUGGCUUUCCAAGAUCAACAUGAACAUUAACUUCUCCAUGGUCCACAUUCUAGAGUGUUGAAUAUAUUGCUAUUUGGACUGUACUUCAAGAUUUCCACCUUGAAGAUAAUGCUAAAGAUGACAUUACUUGGAAGCACACGAAGAGUGGACGCUAUUCGGUGGCCUUCGCUUAUAAGGUGCAAUCUUUAGGGGCCACUCGCUCACCCAUGGAGCUCAUGGUUUGGAAGGUUUGUGCACCGCCUGAAGUCAAAGUCUUUUCUUGGCUAGCUAUGCAAGAUGGGAUUUUGAUUGCUGGUAGAUUAGCCAAGAGAGGAUGACGUAAAUGUGGCCUUUUGUCCUCCUUGUCAAAGAGAGCAAGAAUCCGCUGCCCACAUCUUCUCUAAGUGCAGGUUCACCUUGAGGUUGUUGAAUUUGCUAGAGUUGUGGGUGCAUUGACACUUGAACUUGGCACUUGGAGUGCUCAAUGAAGGAGUGGAGGGUCAACUUAUGAGGGAACAAUAUCCCCGAUAGAAAAGUCACGACCUCUAUUAUCAUGCUCAUCAGCAGGAUUAUUUGGAAUCAACACUGCCUUUGAUUCUCCUUUGCGUCAUUGGGGGAGGGGGAUUUCUUGGCGACGGCGGGUGCCAAGGGUCUAGGGAAAACAAUACGGGGAGAGCAAUGACUCUGUGUAAUUCGUAACAGUUGGUAAAAGCAAAUAAUCUCUAUUUUCCUUGUUAAUUUAUUUAACGGACGAGGCAAACUUUUUGCCAUUAUUUGCACUUGUGCGCCCGAUACCUACCAGUAGUGGUGAGGUGGCGAAUCAACCUGUGGUUGGAUGGUUAGAGGGAUUGUGGUAUCCCCAGCCCACCAUGGUUCAAAUUCUGGUGCUCGCAUUUAUUCCUGGAUUUAUUUCAGGAUUUACGGCGAUGCGCAUUCGGUGGGAGGAGACGUUCCCGUCGACGACGAGGUGCCUACGGUGACUUCGUAAAUUUCAAGAGAGUAAAGUCUGAAAUAAACCCUGAGAUUGUAGAUGUCGAUGCAAAUAAACCCUCAUCUUCAAUCCCGUGAAGUUGGUACCCUGUAUUUACAAAUCCCGGUCAAUCCAGACCUUGUAUAAGUAAAAUCUUGUUUGAUGGAAUAGGAAAGGCCCGAUCCCAGUCGGGAUUGAUCUCUAUCACUUACAACAUGGGCCCACUUGUCAUAUGCAUCUCCUUCCCCAAUAUCUCUUCCUCACAAGUUCACUCCCCAAUCGAUCGUUGGCUCGCCUCCGGACGAGGCCCUAAUGAGCGUGUCGGAUGGGGUCGGCUCGGCUGUCUGACGUCAUCGCAGACGAGUUCCUGGGCGUUUCCAAGCCUGACGACGUGCGUGGCCGACGCUGCAUUAUCCCGACUCGAGGAGCUGGCAUUGGGGACCUCGUCGGCGAGAGAUUGCUGUUCGUCCAGACUAAGCGGAAGGGAAGAUGAUGCCGAUGCGACGAAGAUGCCGGCACGAAUGCCACCACGCAUAUGAAAAGGACCCUUUGGCACAGCUGCUUCGCGCGCCUCGUCUUCCUCAUCGUGGACGCAGGCACAUCCCCUGCUAUGGCCUUGCUGAAGUCAGCCGCCGCAUGUCCCUCUUUCCCUUGCAAAACCACGACCUUCCCUCUGUUCUGCCGUUAGACGCCGGGCCACGCCGAUGCACCCCGUGAGGCCGUGACCUUCUUUUCUUGUCCUCUCCGUAUAGUUGAUGCCAAGGCGAGCUCUAUAGAGUGCGCUAGCGCCGCCACGGUGCGCCCAUGCACACAGCUGCAGCACCACGUCCGUAGUCUCGCAUCCACCAGCGCCGCGCUACUAUAGCGCCGCCGCACACACAGGACACCCCGAGAAGAGAAAGAGCCCUCCAUUGUGCUCGUCGACGUUGUCGCAGAUACUGAAAAAUUCGCAUGCCUGUGGUCGCCCUCGCCGCGCGUGCCGGCGUCCGUAAAGCUGCAGUGGGAGGCGGCCAUGACGACCUGCUCAAGCCAGCGCGGGGUCAAGAGUAAGGAGAACGGCGGGUGGGAUGAGAGCGUGCGCUCACAAGAGUGCCAUGGCGCGCGCGUGCGUGCGUGUUACACUAUGUCAACCCAGCCAGCGACGAGUGCGAUGUUCAAGAUGGGUAUAGGAAGUGGAUGGAGGGGCAGUGUGGAUGCUCCGGCGGAGAGCUAUGCACGCUCGCUAAUGGCCAGGUCGAUGACGUUUGCCACGAUGCGCGGCUCAUCUCUUCCGGCUGCAUCUGCCCCCGUCAAUGUGUAGCUUGUUAACUCGCCCCCACCUCCCCAGGAGCAUCUACCCUAUUGCCAUUGAUUGAGAAGAGAGGAAAGGGAACAUGAUUGUGCCUUUCCCGGUGCGCCAAACAUAUCUAGGGUUAGAAUAGACCGGGAUUGGAACAUUCAGGGUAUCAACUUGCGGGAUUUAGAGGUGAGCGUCGACGUCUACAACCUCAGGGUUUACUUCAGACUCCACUCAUUUCAAGAUGAUGCCGGUCAGUCUUUCGGAGAUGCUAACAAGGGUGUGUGCGUUCGUAGGGAUGAGUGUAUGCACGUGUGCUCGCGCUGGAUGCCAUCGUGCAGGUCGCUCGCUGUGAACAAGUGGUGCGCAGGUGGUACAACCACACUCGUGCGGUCGUGCCUCGGCCAGCAAAACCCACCACCACACCCACACGGGUGAAUCGAAACAAAGCGUCGCAUCGGCGGUGACGGCGAAACUUUGGAUCCCAUCCACCCCUUCUCCGCUCCUCUUUAAAGCCGCCGCCCGUCCCCCUCUGCGUUCCACCGCACUACCGCCAGCGCAGCGACACCAGAGCUCGUUCGAUAGCUUAGAGCGGAGGCGAGGAGGAGGAGAUGAGGAUGUCGCUGCUGAGAUCCGCGUCGCAGCACCUGCGCCGCCGCCGCGGCUACUCGUCGACGCCCGCGCAGCCGGAGCGGAAGGUGGCCAUCCUCGGCGCGGCGGGCGGCAUCGGCCAGCCGCUGGCGCUGCUCAUGAAGCUCAACCCGCUCGUCUCCUCCCUCUCCCUCUACGACAUCGCCGCCACGCCCGGCGUCGCCGCCGACGUAUCCCACAUCAACACCCGCGCCCUGGUACGUCCGCCCCUACCCCGUCUCCCUCCCUUCCCCGCCGGCUAGCUCCAGUUCGGCCGGCUGGAUCUGUGCGCUAAUCUGCUUCGUGGCUCCGCAAAUCCGUCUGCAGGUGAAGGGGUUCGUCGGGGACGACCAGCUCGGGGAGGCGCUGGAGGGCGCCGACCUCGUCAUCAUCCCCGCCGGGGUGCCCCGCAAGCCCGGCAUGACCAGGGACGACCUCUUCAAGAUCAACGCAGGGAUCGUCAAGGGCCUCUGCACCGCCAUCGCCACGCACUGCCCCAACGUAAGCCCCCUUAUCACCCACUCUGCCGCCAUGUCGCUCUAGAUCUGCAGUUCAGCGGAUGCCACACAGCUAGAUUUGGUUGCCAGAUGCGGCAAUCCAGCGUUUCCCUGCUCGGAAUUGCUUCUACUACUUGCUGACGGUUGUAGUAUGUAUGUUUUCCGUUCAUUUCUGAUCUGGGGCGUAGGGACGGAGCAGCCGAAUUGUUGCAUAGGAUUGCUCUGUACUAGUAGUCCAGAACAGUCGUUUGCCUAAAAUGAACCCAACUGCCACAGCCAAGUCAGGUGUUACUUUCCUGCCCCAAAUCUGUAGGCUGCUUCUAGUAGGAGGCACACUUGGUUCAGACCUCGUUUUACAAGUUUAAAACAAUGGUUUGCUCCAAAUGAAUCGAAUUGCCACUGCCAGUCGGCUGUAUGCUUUGCAUUCAGCGAUGAUCUGGGGGAGAGCAGUCACGUAAUAGUCGCAUCAUAGGAUGACUGCCACUGUGUUUGCCCAAAAUUGAGCCCAACUGCCACUACCAAGUCAGGUGUUUCUUUUCUGCCUCAGUGUUUAGACUGUUUCUGCUUCAGGCCUUGUUUUACGAUUUAUGUUCUGGGGCAGUUCAGUCACAUUGCUGCAUAUCUUUUUCGUGAAUACACAAAGUUUGUGUAUCUUUCAUUGGUAGAAGAGUGAAAUAAGUUACAAAGUCUUCGGCACUCAACACAAUGGAGUGCCGAGCGUGUGUGGCUGGGAAUACAAACUACCACAUGCGGACUACUCCCGAAGGAUGUUGGCCAAGCCAAAAGCACCCUAGCUUCAUCCUUGAUGAGCUGAAGGAGAUGUCGCAAGGAGGGUUGUAGGCAGUAAAACUCUAUAUGCUUUGCUGCCCAAAUGCUGUAGGGCGGCUGUAGGCUGUUCUCUACGAGGCAAAUUUGCUGCAGGCAUUAUUUUGCAUUUUUGAGCUUCAUCUCUCUGUCUCCAUCCUAUCGCACACACUGUGUACUGAGAUGGCCAAGGUGGUACUUCUUUGUUUCCACUCAAAACACACAUUCACAUCAAAAUGCAUGUGUUUUUGUAUUAGAUGAAAACCAAGAAGCUGCAGAACUUGCACCACUGCAAUGCAAAGAACUCUAUGCAACUCGAUGUAAAACUGCUAACUGAAAUUAGAUAAACAAAAAAAGCAAAAGCAAAAGCAAAGAGAGCUGCUCAAACACUAACACUAUCCAGCCAUUGGCUCUGGAGGCCUGGCAUGACAUCAGUGUGUAGUUUAAACAUGCUCAUGUGGUGCUACUGUACGUGAAGAUGUCAACCGUCGUUUAUGAAGUAAUUUUUUAAAUUGUACAGUAUUUAUGUAAAAAUCUAAUUGUGGAAUUGUUAAUUAUGCUUGUUCAGGCUCUCGUCAAUAUGAUCAGCAACCCUGUCAACUCGACUGUCCCAAUUGCAGCUGAGGUGUUCAAGAAGGCUGGUACCUAUGAUGAGAAGAAGCUGUUUGGUGUGACCACUCUUGAUGUUGUUCGUGCUAAAACAUUCUAUGCUGGAAAGGCGAACGUGCCAGUUACUGGUAUUAAGAUGACAUUUUAUUUAAUUAUGGGGAAAUUUGAGAUUAUGUUGUUGGAUUUUAUGCCUCUGUCCUUUCAAUCUGAGUUGUUGCUGUGAUCUUUUGCAGGGGUGAAUGUUCCUGUUGUUGGUGGCCAUGCUGGAAUCACUAUCCUGCCACUGUUCUCACAGGUCUGGCAUCUUACUGGCUUAACUUGUUUUCUUUCAUUUCAUUCAAUAGCAACACAAAUUGAUGUGCAAAUCUAGCGAAAUUGUAAACACAUACUGAUAACGAAACUUCAUAGCAUAGUUGUAUAAAACUAUCUGAAUGCUAUUGGCAAGUCGUUUUAGCUAAUAAAAUCUAUGUUUGGGAUAAGAAUCAACAGUAUGCCUCUCUAGUGCUGCUUAUCUUUCAUCUGUCAAUCACCGAAACACUAUGCAACUAAUGCUGUUUUAAUUUUAUGCUAUAUCUGCCAUAUGUUUUACCGCCAACAUCUCAAGUUAACAACUCAAUUCUUCAUAUUCGAGAUAGGCUACUCCUGCAAGUAAUGCAUUGUCCCAUGAGGACCUUGUCGCCCUCACGAAGAGGACACAAGAUGGUGGCACGGAAGUUGUUGAAGCGAAGGCUGGAAAGGGCUCAGCAACAUUGUCGAUGGCGUAAGUCUAUUAACACGCACACAGACUUCCCUGAGCAUGUCCUCUUUCUGCUAGUUUUAUGCUCUUGAAAAUAACAUGCUAUUAUCCCUGUGUGUCCGUGUUUUUUAUAGAAUAUCAAAGUAGCAUAUUAGUGUUUAUACUCUGCAAUCAGCAUAUGACCAAAUUCAGUAUUCAUAACCUAUUUGCUCUGACUAACUACUGUAUUGUAGUUCUUGUAUCCAUUUGAUUGUAUCUUCAUAGCAGUGCUUUACUGCCAAAUAUGUACAUAUGUGAAUGUGUUUUCCAUUCUGUUUAAGAGUAGUUACAUGUUCAUUGUAUAAGUGGUUUUUUUUUUCUUAGGUGUUCAUUUUGUUUGGGCCUUCAGUUUAAUGUUUUUUUUCAGCGUGAAACAUCUGGUUUCGUAAAUUAUAUUGCACCCUGGAUUCCUGUUUUUUUUUUGGAGUACUGACCUACAUACUAAACUACUAAUUGUAGAGAAUAUUCUUUACUAAAGAGUUUUUCAUCCCACUAUUAAUCUUCUGCUUUUUCUUUCAUGUGAAAUGCACACUUAAUUCAGUUAUGUCCAAAAUAUUGUACUCUUGUGCUCAUUUUAGCUGGGAAGUAGCAUCUGAAAUGAGACAUGGCCACUUUGAUCGAUCUAUGUAGAUGAACUCUGUAGCAAUCUCUUGUUUUAUACUGGACUGUUUUGCAUUAUUUGGUUUUCGCUGACAAUAUUUUAUCUUGUGUUUUUUCCAGAUAUGCUGGUGCAGUUUUUGGAGAUGCAUGCUUGAAGGGGCUCAACGGUGUUCCUGACAUCGUAGAGUGCUCUUUUGUCCAAUCAACUGUAACAGAGCUGCCAUUCUUUGCCUCCAAGGUGAUUUCCUGUUCCCCCCCUGUCAAUGCAUAAAUAAAUCCUAUUGUCCCUGUUAUAGUACACAAUCAUGUCCCUGCAGAUUAUUUGUCAAGAGAAAACCUUCAUAAUCCUCACUCUCUUUCUUUUAUCAUGUUAAGUUCUUAAGCAGGUUACCAACUUUUCAUCCCUACAUGCAAUUUGCUUGCAUGCUUAUUCCUAGAAGGUGUCGCUAUGUUUUUUGACUUUGUAAGCAGGUAUCCAAAGUGUAGGUUGCUCUUUUGAGUUGAAUCGUGUGGUCUGUGACAGGCCUUGCAAGAUGCUCUUGUUGAUUCGUAAUUUUUUGGUUGAUUAGUUUAUAGACAAACUUAUGGUUGAUUAUUAAGUUCAUGGAGUUAUCAUUGUCGUGGAGGGUCAGACAUGUCACAUGUCUAUACUACUAUAUAGUGUAUGGGUUUUGAAUUGUACAACAACGACGAUCCUGGCCAUUGGUCUCAUAAAUUUAACGGUGGAGAUUCAAAGGAUUCGCAAUGAACAGUAGCCGGCAGCUGCAUCUGCUGGUUUCUAGAAAAAUCGCAUCACAUCUCCUCUCUUCUCGCCAUGUUGCAUGUGCCAGUGCGUCAGGCAAAGAGCCGAGACGGGCAGAGACAAGUGAACAUUUCUAGCGGCAUGUAUAUUGUACAUCAGCUAAUGGCCGCAGCUAAUUGCAUCAUUAGUCCAUACAAAAAUAUAUUUAUAAAACCAACUACACCGAAUAUAGAGAAGACCUUAGCCCAGUAGCCCAUACAUGUAGGUGUGGUUAACUAUUGUUUUGCCCUUGGACAAUUGAUCGAUCUGAUCGAUUGAUUCAUCUACGUGAGUGUUCGCCUGGGCUAUUUAGAGCGUUUUUCGCUACAGCCCAGUGAAAUGUAAAUGAUCACCACAAUACCAAUUUUAUUAGAAAAAAUCAUCACUUUAUAAUUCAUGUUAAUAUUUAUUUUUGCUCCGGAUUCAUUGCAAAGUACUAUAUGAUUUUCUUUUCUUUUAAUAGAACCAUAGGAACAAUACUAUUAAGACGUGCAUUGCACGUGUAUACAUACUAGUGUGUCAUAGUGAUCGAACUGGCAUACCACGAUUCACAGAUUGUGCGUUGUUUCACAUCAUCUAAGCCUGUUCUUGAAGCCCGGAAAACAUGCCUGUGCUGAAUGCUGUUCCGCAACCUGUUAAUUUCCGUGAGAAGAUCGGGACUUGGUGUGCUGAACACUAUUUCCUUUAUUCGGUUUCGCAGGUGAGGCUGGGCAAGAGCGGCGUGGAGGAAGUGAUGGGGCUGGGCGAGCUGUCGGCGUUGGAGAAGGAGGGGCUGGAGAGCCUCAAGGGCGAGCUGCUGUCUUCCAUCGAGAAGGGCGUCAAGUUCGCGCAGGAAAGCUAGGCUGCAACCUGCUCAGCCUAUAACAAUCGGUUCACACUUGAACUCAUGCAAAUUUUUGUUCGACCGCUUUCGUUGCCCCCAAACCCGGGUGUGCCGCGGGGCAUCGAGGCGUCGCCGUGCUCCACAAUAAAAUGUACUACUGGCUUUGAUGUCCCGCCAGACUGAACUGAACCUGUCGUACCAGAAACAGCAGACACCGGUGCCUAUGUGUUCAUGGCAUUCGUACCCGAGAUCACGAAGCGCGAAACCGAAGAUUCUGCGGGCAUUAUAUUUGUGUUGUACGUGCAGGGGCGGGUUUGUCGUUCCUCUUUUAAAUUGUCGACACCGUUUGUUAACCUGCUAGCUAUGUGUCGAUGCGUGCUUCUUUGGAGAUUCAGUAGCAGUUGGGGUGGGUUUUGUACCGCGCUGUUGAGAGCUCAGCUCGUUUUGGGUUAUCGAAUGAUGCGUGGAGGCAAAGGAGGAGAGCAGUGCCGACUAAACUGCCAUUUCAAGUGGAAGCAAUAGACACUGAUGGUAUGGUGGUGAAUUGGGUCUUCAGGUCAGGUGGAGCUUGGAGGAGGCAACUGACCAAUAUCUAGUAGCAGUAGCACAUGAACAUCAGGGAGGGAGCACGGCGAGAGUGACGAAUGCACACGCGAUUCUGGGCAUGUUGAUGACCAAAACUUUUCUGGGCCUACACGGUUGGGUCUCGAUCUUAGCCGAAUAACCCAACGACCCCGUGCCGUAAGGGAAGGGCGUUAGUAGUUAUGUCGGUUGUGAAGAUGGAGCAUGAGCUUGUGUCUGUCGCACACGUUUCAGCCAAUCAUGGAGUGAAUUCCAUCAGGUUGAGUGUGUGAAGGACGUUUAACCUUGUGAUGAAGUUGUAAGCUAACUGAAGAAAUCUACGCUUGGGAGUGGCAAUGGGUCUGGGAUCUGGCAGGCAGGGCGUCAAUUUGUGAGCUCAUUGGGUAGCUGCGUAUGCUGCUGGAUUUCUCACUUACGAAGCACUGGCACUGGGACGGCACCGCAGAAAAAGAAAGAUGACACCGCCGUCCCCCAAGAAGAUAACCUACGGCUGACACGGUAACUCGAUGCCCCGCUCCACAGGCUUAGUUUUCAGGACGGUGUCGAGGAGCACCCUUGCUCCACACGAGCCACACCGUAGACCGUACCACACGACAAGACAUGGCAGCAGGUUAAUAAUUUCUCGGCUGGAUCAACCGUUGUAUGUCGUUCCACUGAGUUGCCAGGGUUGGUGGCAUUCAUCAUAAUCUGAAAGACCAAAUCCAUGUGGGAGUUCUUGUCGUUCUUUGGACAAUUUGUAAUUACCAGAAUGAAUGCGUUUAACACAUCAUUUAUUCAUAACUUUUUACAGCUUAUCUUUAGAGCUAUGUUGUUAAUUUGUAUGCAGUCAUCAUCACUGCAUCACGUUGACGUUUAUGUCCUUUGGGUGCUGGUUUGUUCACCGUAUGGCCGCUGAGCCAGUAGUAGAUUAUGUCAUUGAGCUAUGUAGUCAUGUUUCCAACUAGUUGUGGUCGUGUUUUAUUUUUGUUUUCCAUUCGAUACCUGGUGAAUUCAACUCGUGCUAUGCGACGUGGUCGAAUCCGGCAAAUCUCAGAUAAGGGAUCCCGAGCUGACAGCCUUGACACAAUGGUAACAUGCAGACAUGAUUUUACCCAGGUUCAGGCUCUCUCUAAGAGGCAAUACCCUACGUCCUGCUUUGAUUGUAUAGAUGAAUGGGGUACACCACUCGGCUUCUAUAGACACUAUAUGGAUACUUAGGGUUACACAUAGGUCGGUUACAUCAAAGGAUAAACAUGCCGAAGAUUGCAUUCGUGCCUUGGAGUGUGCGCCAAGUCUUUGAUAGAUUUUAUCUUGAUUCCUUCGGGAACCUGACGAAUGUGGCCCACUGGUUUGUGGUUUUGGGGGUCCUCGGCCCAGCUCGCGUCCUCUGGGAGCCGAUGUGUUAGCACCCCCUUAUCCAACACACCAUCACUACAAUUAAUGAAAUGGAUGUAUCGACAUGAAGCGUUCUUUUCCCAAGGCCCUAGGGGUGGCAAGGUUACACCGUCCCUCCAAACAACACCGGUGAGUAUGUGGAUUCGUCUCCCCUCUGCCUGUCGCUCCGGUGGCCGGCGGCGGGGAGGAGAAUUCCGGUGCCUCGGGUCCGGCUAGUAGUUUAGUUUAGGGCUUUUAGUCCUCAUAGCGGCGGUGUUCAAGGGAUGUCGGCGCUUCUUUGAGUUGGCCUUACAGGCUCCAAUCCUCCUCAACAUGUUCGUUUGUCAGGACGGAACCGACAGAGAUCCGGUGUAGUUUCCUGCCUUCUUCUUGGAGCGGAGAGGUUAGAGUUUUUCUUUGUGCGUGUGCAACAGCGAGAUCAGAUGUCAGGCACUUCAGAUCAAUUCAAGGGUUCAACGAUGACGAUCGCGGCUCCAAGGCGCUGAUCCUUAGGGGCACGUGCACGAGGACUUUCCUGACUGUUAUCGACAAUGUCAGGCUAGCUUAAUUUGGUAGGGGAGCGGCGACAACGGCACGUCGGCGACUCAUUCUGACGGCGGUAGUGAUCGUUCAGUGGUCCAGAGAUCUCAAUGUAAUUUUUAUCAGGUUUGGGGUGCGGUGUACUUUUUGUGAACUUUUUAAAUACGUUUUUUCACAAAAAAUAAUAAAAUAAAUGGCCAUGUGCUUGAUGUAGAGGCCAGUACUUCCUCUUUGGUAAAAAUAAAUAAAACAAAUCGGAAUCGUAUUUAUUAUGGUUAAAGGGACAGCGGUAUGCUCAGCCCAUCAGAAUUUAAGUCCUAGUGCUCGCAUUAUUCCUAAAUUUAUUUUCGGAUUUUUCUAAAUUUAUUUUCAGAUGUCAGGCACUUCAGAUCAAUUCAAGGGUUCAACGAUGACGAUCGCGGCUCCAAGGCGCUGAUCCUUAGGGGCACGUGCACGAGGACUUUCCUGACUGUUAUCGACAAUGUCAGGCUAGCUUAAUUUGGUAGGGGAGCGGCGACAACGGCACGUCGGCGACUCAUUCUGACGGCGGUAGUGAUCGUUCAGUGGUCCAGAGAUCUCAAUGUAAUUUUUAUCAGGUUUGGGGUGCGGUGUACUUUUUGUGAACUUUUUAAAUACGUUUUUUCACAAAAAAUAAUAAAAUAAAUGGCCAUGUGCUUGAUGUAGAGGCCGGUACUUCCUUUUUGGUAAAAAUAAAUAAAACAAAUCGGAAUCGUAUUUAUUAUGGUUAAAGGGACAGCGGUAUGCUCAGCCCAUCAGAAAGUCCUAGUGCUCGCAUUAUUCCUAAAUUUAUUUUCGGAUUUCUAGCGAUGCGCUUUCAGAGGGAGAAGACGUUCCCGUCGACGACGAUGCGCCUAAGGUGACUUCGUAAAUCUCAAGAUGAUAUGUUGGCUCAGUCUCUCAAAGGUGCUCAUUGGGGUAGGGUGUGCGUGUGUGCCUUCAUAGUGGUGAGUGUAUGCGCGUACGUAUGAGCGCUUGUGUCUGUAUUGUGUUAAAAAAAUUGCUUACGGCGCGGGCCAUCGAGGUGUCGUUGUGCUCCGAUAAUAAAUUGCUGUCGCCAACAUGAACUGACUCUCUUUUUUUUGGCGGAAAGCCAACAUGAACUGACUUGAAGUACCCGAAACAGCAAACGCCGGUGCCUCUGUUAACCUGUUGUCGAUGUAUGCUUCUCUCGAGAUUCAGAGCAGUGGUUAGAGCAACUCUAGCAGACUCUGUAUCCGUCCCCGACCCGCAAAAUAACCGUCAAAAUGUGGGUACGGGCCAGAAAGCCUGCCCGACCAGACCCCGCAUCUCGUCCCAUCCCGCAAAAAAUUUUAGGGGGCGCGGCAAAUUCUCCGUCACAACCCGGGAAAACGCGGGUUUCCCCCUGGCGGCUGCAGUGCCCUGCAUCGGAGAGAAGCAGUUGGCGGGAGGGACAUUUCAGCCCACGCGCUUUUCCCCUCCUUUCGCCGCCGCCCGCCCGCCGCUGGCGAUUCCGGUCAUAUCUGCGGGGGGAAUCGCGCCCCGGGGCCGCCCCACACCCUCCCGUGCCGAGCCGCCGCACCGCCCCUUCGGAUCCGGCGAGAAGAGCCGCCCCCCGUCGCCGCCGCCGCCGGGGAUCGACCGCCGUCGAGCGCACCCCCUCGUCGCCGCCCCGGGAUCAGCCGCCACCGGUGAGUCCCUUUUUUGUGAUUUUUGCGAGCUACGUAGUAGAUUGAUGCUCCGGUGUGCGUGUAGAUGGAGUUGACCCGUGCGAGAAGUUCUUGCUACCCGAUUCGUCCGAUUUGGAUGACUCGGAUGUUGAGAGCAUGCUUGCGAACUUCCGGCAGCAAACAUUAGUCAUGGCGCUUGCCGUGAAGGAGCAUGAAGACGAGCACCGGAAGAGGAGGCGAGGAUCGACUGUCGGUCAUUUGUGCAUUCCUCGGAAUCGCCAUCUUGGGAACAAGAUGUUGAUGCAAGACUAUUUCGCGGAGAAUCCUACAUAUCCUCCGCAUCUCUUCCGGAGAAGGUACCGAAUGCGCCGAUCCGUCUUUGUGAAAAUUGUUGAAGCUUGCGAGGCAAAUUGCCGAUAUUUUACUCAAAGAAGAAAUGCCGCGGGCUUAAAGGGAUUUAGUGCAUAUCAAAAAAUCUCCACAGCUAUGCGGGUGAUUGCAUAUGGCGUUCCGGCUGACUGUGCCGAUGAGUAUCUUCGCAUUGGUGAAGAUAGCACAAUUGAGUCAGUGCGUAGAUUUGUGAAAGUGAUCAUUCGUGUCUUCGGUCCUGAGUAUCUUCGGGCACCCAAUGAAGAUGACACAAAGAAAUUGAUGGCAUCAAAUGAGAGGAGAGGUUGGCCUGGCAUGCUAGGUAGCAUUGACUGUAUGCAUUGGAAUUGAAAAAAUUGCCCCAAGGCUUGACAAGGAAUGUAUUGUGGCAAGUCUCGUGAUGCAACAAUUGUGCUAGAGGCCGUAGCAUCCGAGGAUUUAUGGAUUUGACAAAUUUUGUAUUGCAAUAUUUAAGUUUGCUACGGUUAUUUGAAUAAUUAUUUGUAAUGCAGAUGAUUAUUGUAUUAUGUUUGAUUGGAAUAAUGCAGCUUGUUUCUGAUUGUUGAAUUAUGUUUUAUUUUAUAUUUGCGGGCUGAUGAUAUGCGGGAUGCAACAGCGCACAGAGCAGACCCUGCAAAGCCGACCCGUAAAAAGAAAUAUUCCGCGAAUAUACCUUUUUACGGAUCCAUUUGGGGGGUCUGCAUCUGUGCCAGUCCAAGCCGACCCGCAAAAGUUGUUUUGCGCAAACUGCAAACGCGUUUUGUGGACCGGCGGGAUGCAGGGUCUGCUAGAGUUGCUCUUACUGCUUAGGCACUAUUGAGAUAUCUUGUUAGGUUAUUGGAUAAUGCGUGACGCGUAGGAUUAGUGCGAGCUGCCACCCCCAAGUGUGGAAGCAAGAGACACCGAAUGAAUUGGGUCCCGGCCUUUUCUGGUCAGUUGGAUGCUGGAGCAUGGAACCGAGGAGAGGGCGUGUUGAGUGCACUACCAAUCUUGGACAUGGAUGACUGGAGACGACCAAAGCUUUUAGGUCAGCACAGCAUGACCCAAGCAGACAGCUAACAGCACAGAUCCAUCGAUAGAUAGAUAUGCCUACACGGCUGGGUCUCUAUCCAUCUACCUAUUUAUCCGAAGACCAAGGCAACUGACCAAUAUCUAGUAGUAGAUGAAUGCACAGCCAAUUCUGGACAUGGACGACCAAAACUUUUCUGGGUCAACACAGCGCAGCAUGAGUUUGCAGACAGCAGCUGCCAGUAGAUGGACGUGCCUACACGGCUGGGUCUCUAUCUUAGCCGAAUAACCCAAUGACACCGUGGAAGGGCGUUAGUAGUUAUGUCGGUUGUGAAGAUGGAGCAUGAGCUUGUGUCUGUCGCACACGUUUCAGCCAAUCAUGGAGUGAAUUCCUCAUGCCGAUCCCAUCAGGCUGAGUGUGCCAAGGACGCGACGUUUAACCUUGCGAAUUGCGAUGGUGUAAGCAGCUGCUAAUGGAAGAAAACCCAAUGGCUCUGGCUCUGUCAGGUUGGACGUCAAUUUGUGAACUCUUUUUUUUUAAAGCAAAAGAGGGAGAACUCCCCUCCGAUUUCAUUAACGAAACCAACGAGUGAAACCAGGUUCAGGUACCGUUGCUGCCUACAUCUAGAAGGACUCCUGCAAGCUACCAAAAGUUGAGCAAAUCCAGGUAGAUCAAGUAACAAGCAGUUUAAGCGAAAGGGCCACAAGCGGCCAAAAGACCAAGAGGUCGCAGCCUCAACAGAUAGGAGAAACAACAGGUAUACGACGUCAUCUAGUUCAGCAGCAGCACCCCAGCUCUCCAUCCCCGCGACGCCUUGUAAACCUCACUUGCUACUCGCUCGAUAAGCCUUGCCCCCAUCAUCAGAAGGUUUUGCUCUGGGUUUUUUUCUUCUGCAAAACAACCCAAUCCACAAGCCAAUUGCAUGUCAGUUUGAUCAGAGUCAUAGGAUCACUUAUCUUUCUAUCUCGAAAAGUAAUAUCAUUUCUGCAUUUUCAAAUCGUCCACAUGAGAGCAGAGGUUCCCACUAACACUAGUUUUCUUUCUCUAUCCACAAAGUUUCUAACCCAAGGCCCCAGACAAUCAUCAACCCCCCUAGGAGAGGUUUUCAGAUUAAAUGAGCAUUUGAUCAGGCUCCACAAGAGUUUAGCAGCUGAGCAUGUAAAAAACAAAUGAUCAAUGGUUUCAUUCUGACCGCAGUAGACACACCCCUGUUUCUCUUUCCACCCCUUUUUGAUUAGAUUAUCCUUAGUCGCUACACUUUUUCUGGCAAUGAGCCAGAGGAACAUUUUAAUUUUUGCUGGGAUUUUGAUCUUCCAGAGAUACUUGUGUGGGAAUCCCACAUCAAUUUUAACUAGGGAGUGGUAGAGUGAUCUAACAGAGAAUUGCCUGCUGGCUGUCAACAUCCAUUGUGGCUGAUCUUUGCCAUCAUACAUACUGACCCUCUCAUAUAUGUCUCCCAGACUAUCCCAUAAGAUCUGCUUAUCGUCAGUAAGGCUUCUUCUGAAUUUGAAUCCAGCCCACCCCAUUUCAAUGGCCUCAGCCACCGAGAUGUGAUGAUUUAGGUUAAUAAGAAACAGACUUGGAUAGGCCUCCUUUAAAGGUUUGGAUGCCACCCACUAGUCUUCCCAGGAACGGGUAUUUUUUUCAUCUCCCAGUUUCUUCUUCACAUUCUUAAAGUAAAUCUCUUUAAUCUGCAUGAGGCUCCCCAAGAAGUGGGGAGUCUCCAGCCUUCUUUUUUAUUGCAGAAAGACAUUUACCUUUCACAUAUUUAUUAAGAAGAAUUUGAACCCAAGGAGAUGACACUUACGUCGCCCAAGAAGAUGAUCAACGGACGCCGUCUGAAACCUACGGCUGACACGGUAACUCGAUGGAUCGCACUUGCACGGACACCAUUGCGACCCGACCCCGGCACGACGCCCCGCUCCACAGACUUCGUUUUCAGGACGGUACGAGGAGCACCCUUGCUCCACACGAGCCACACCACACGACAAGGAAGCAGGUUAAUUUCUCAGCCGGAUCAAUCAGGCACCCGCUUCCUCCGAGGCCAAGCCGCACAUUUAAUUUUCCUCCGUGCCUAUCCACUGUACUACGUCGCUGUCACAUUUUAUUUUUUAAGGUUCUGAAAAAAUAAUGAUGUUUUCAAUCCAGAGAAAAAAGUCAUCAUUUAUUUUUGUCAUGUCCAUUCACUACCUUGAUUUGACGCACAACUCAUGUUACCUACAAUUUACCAUCACCAAGUACCGACUCUUUUUGGAAACUGGUUUGGUGGCAUUCAUCAUAAUCCGGAAGACCAAAUCCAUGCGGAAGUUUCUGCCGUUCUAUAGAAAGUUUGUAAUUAUCGGAAUGAGUACGUUUAACAGAUCAUCUAUUCCUAACAUUUUACAAGUUAUGUUUAGAGCUAUGUCGUUAAUUUGUAUGCAGUCAUCACUACAGCGUGUUGACGUUUAUGGCCUUUGGGUGCUGGUUUGUUGUGAGCGAGUAGCAGAUUAUGUCAUUGAGCUAUGUAGUCUCGUUUCUAACUAGCUGUGGUCGUGUUUUAUUUUUAUUUUUCAUUCGGUACCUGGUGACUUGAACUCGUGCUACGUGACGACGUCGAAUCAGGUAGAUCUGAGGUAGGGGGUCCCGGGCUGAUGGUCUUGACACGAUGGUAACAAUGACGCAUGAUUUUACUCAUGUUCGGGCUCUCUCUAGAAGACAACACCAUACGUCCUGCUUUGAUUGGAUAGAUGAAUGGGGUACAGAGUACAUGUUGAUCUACCACGAGAUCGUGUAUGAGUGAGUUGGCCUCUACGGUCGACACCCGUCGGCUUGUAUAGAUAGUGUGGGUACCUAGGGUUACACAUAGGUCGUUAUAUCUAAGGAUAAACAUGCCGAUUUGCAUUCGUGCCUUAGAGUGUGCGGCAACUCUUCAUAAGAUUUCAUCUUGAUUCCACCGGGAGCCUGACGAAUGUGUCUCACUGGUUGCUGGUUUUGGGGUCGUCGGCCCAGCGCACGUCCUCUGGAAGAUAAUGUGGUUAGCACCCCCUUAUCCAGUACACCAUCACCACGAUUAGUGAAAUGGAUGUAUCGACAUGAAGCGUUUUUUUCCCUGGGCACUAGGGGUGCUUAGGUUAGACCUUCCUCCCAAGCAACAUUGGUGACCCUGUGGAUUCGUCUCCCUUCUGCCUGUCGCUCAAGGGGCCAGCGGCGGGGAGGAGAAUUCCGGUGCCUCGGGUCCGACUAGUAGCUUAGGUUAGGGCAUUUAGUCUUCGCAGGGGCAGUGUUUAGGUAGAUGGCGGCGUUUCUUCUUCGAGUUGGUCUUACAGGCUCCAAUCCGCCUCUAGUUCGUUUGCCAGGACGGAACCGAUAGAGCGCCGACAUAGUUUCUUGCCUUCUUCAUGGAGCGGAGAGGUUAGGACUUCUCGUCGUGCGUGUGCAACGGCGAGAUCAGAUGUCAUGCACUUCAGAUCAAUUCAAGGGUUUAACGAUGACGGCUACGGCUUCAGGGCGCUGUUCCUUAGAGCAUCUACAACCGGACUUGGCAAAUCCGACCCCUCAAAUAGCGGCGGACGCACGGCACUAACCGGGCACCCCUAAAAUCGCUUCGUCCACAUCUGUGUAUCUCAUAUUUGAACCCCUGUAUCCAUACUAAAUCAUGCAACGUCGAUCAAACUACGUAGAUCAACUGACCGGACAUAGAAUCACACAUAGGACAGCACAAUAGUUCACCAAAAGAUCACCAAAGUUCACAUAAAAGACGAACAACUUUAUACUACAUCUAAAACUUGAAAUGAAAUUGAACUUCACCACUUCCGGGCCGGCCCUUUCCCCUUCUGGUCGCCGACAUAGCUGUAGCGUCAGCGGCUGGUGGAGGAUCAUCCGAUUCGUCGGACGAGGAGCCGUCGCCGUCGGACAAGGAGGAGGAGACGAUGACGAGGCCCUUGAGGCGCUGGACGGCCCGGUCCUGCUGGCGCCUGAGCUUGGCUAGCCGAGCCGCCUCCGCCGCCUUCUCUUCCCCCCGCUCGGACUGCUCGAUGGCAAGCCGGAGGGCCUUCACGUUCUUCCGGCAGAGCCGCCGAGCGUCCGUCUCCGCCGUCGUAAGCGACCGUCGGUAGACCACGCGAGGAGCCGCUCGUCCUCGUCGGGCUCCGCCAGUAACCCACGGCGGUGGCGGAAAGAGCUCUCCACAGCCUCCCUCUCCCUUGCCCACUGCCUCUCGCGGCGGGGGACGCGCGCCUCGAACUCCAGCGUGCGCGUUCGGGCCAGCGGGGCAGGCACAAGCACCCACCGCUGCCCACAAGAGGGAGCGGCAGCCGACGGGGACGGGGGACGGCGUAGCGGAGGCGCGAAUUGCGCAGGCCGCCUGUCGGAGCUUCCCCCGGACCGGAAGGGGCCAACACUACCGUUCGAGCUGCGCCGACGAGGAAACUGUGGCUGCGGCGAGGCUGCAAAUCCGGAGCUGCUCAAACUUCGGAUCCAACUCGUCGUCGGAGUGGCUGCCGAAGCUUGACAUUGCGCCGGAUGCGAUCGGAAUCNNNNNNNNNNNNNNNNNNNNNNNNNNNNNNNNNNNNNNNNNNNNNNNNNNNNNNNNNNNNNNNNNNNNNNNNNNNNNNNNNNNNNNNNNNNNNNNNNNNNNNNNNNNNNNNNNNNNNNNNNNNNNNNNNNNNAGAGACUAGGUGAAGUAGGCUUUCAGAGCGAUGAGGUCGACGGUUUUUUUUGUGGCAUAUCCAUGGGGUCGGCGAUGGGCCGGGCUUCUCAGGCGGUCCGGGCCGCCUCAUAUCCUCCCUACAUUUGGGACGGAUAUGAGGGGUACCGGUAAGCCCGGACGUUUGAGGCCCGUUUGAGAUCUCCGAUUGGGUCGGUAUUCUGUGACCGGUCAGUAACCGGACGGCCUGCCCGGGCGUAUGAGACGGAUAUAGGGCGCCCGGUGGUAGAUGCUCUUAGGGACACAUGCACGAAGACUUCCUGCCUGUUAUCGACAAUGUCAGGCUGGCUUUGGUAGGGGAGUGGCGACAACGGCACAUCGACAACUCAUUCUGACGUCUGUAGUGAUCGUUCAGUGAUCCAGAGAUCUCAAUGUAUUUUUACCAGGUUUGCUGUGCUUUGUACAUCUAGUGAACUUUUUAAAUAUUUUUCUCACAAAAUAAAAUAAAAUACAAUAAAAUGGCUGCGUGCUUGAUGUAGAGGCCGGUACUUCCCUUUUGAUAACAGAAUAAAACAAAUCGGAAUCGUAUUUAUAUUUUAUAAUUGCUUGUGGCGCAGGCCAUCGAGGUGUCGUUGCGCUCCGAGAAUAAGGCUGGUCAUAGUGGAGAGUAACUUAGACUAGUAACAUACAUAUGUUACUAAUCCAUGUUACUACCUUCAUAGUGGGAAGUGUCAUAGGUGUAGUAAUAUACAUGUCUUCAUUUAUUGCUUUGUAGACUCAUUUUGCAUUGGGAACCGCUAUGUUAUGGUAAUAUAUUAUGUUACUCUAUUUGUCUCUCUCCUUUUUAAUUACAUGACACAUCAUCUUUUUUGCUUAUGUGGCAUCUACGUUACUACUUAUGUUACUCCCACUAUGACUAGCCUAAAUUGAUGUGGCCAACAUGAACUGACUUGAUGUACCCGAAACAGCAAACGCCGGUGCCACUGUUAACCUGUGCUAUCGAUGUGUGCUUCUCUAGAGAUUCAAAGUAGUGGUUAGGCACUAUUGUGAUAUCGGUUAUUGAAUGAUGCGUGACGCGUAAGGAUCAGUGCGAGCUGCCAACCCCAAGUGUGGAAGCAAGAGACACUGACAGUAUGUAUGCUAAUGAAUCAAGUCUCUGCCUUUUCUGGUCAGUUGGAUCCCGGAGCAUGAAACUGUGGACAUGGCGUGUUGAGUGCACCACCAAUCUUGGACAUGGAUGACCGGAGACGACCAAUGCUUUUAGGUCAGCACAACAUGACCGAAGCAGACAGUUGCCAGCAGAUCCAUCGAUAGAUAGAUAUGCCUACACGGUUGGGUCUCUAUCUAUCCGAAAAUCCUAACUAGCUACUCCGUCGAAGGGCGUUAAUUAAUUAAUUGAAACUAAAGAUGAAUCAUUAGAAGAAUUCAUGCACCUUAUUCUUGGAAAUACUGAUACACCCAAGUCCCAGCUCUCGCCCGCGUCGCUCCCGCACCGGGAGACUCGGCAGGCCGCUCCCCUAGCGGCCGUCGAGCCUAGACCUGGUAUGUGGCCUGGUUGGGAUCUUCGGUUUUAGAUGCUAGGCUUAGGUGAAAGGCCUGGUAUUCGGCUCACACUUUCUGCAUCCCUUCAUCAAUGAACAGGAAUAGCGACGUAUGUUGCUAAGAUGGCGGCUUCAGACAUAUGAAUGUAUUACUUUGUAAGUUAUUUAUGAAUAAUUAAUAAAGUGACUGCAUGCAUCUCCCACAUGAAGAGGCCGGGAGAUAUCCUCCUUUUCUAAAAAAAAGAUGGAGCAUUAAUUGUUGCCACACGUUUUAGCAGCGUGUUUUCUAGUUAUCAGGUACUCCCUUCGAUCCAUAUUAAUUAUCGCUGGCUUAGUUUCAACGAUAAUUAAUAUGGGCCGAAGGGAGUACAUAAUUUUCUUUCUAGAUUAAGUCGAUUUUGCGAACAAGCAAGGCCGAGCCAGCAGCUUACAACCUCGUCUUAGGUGAAGGCAAGGCAGCAGGGCCGGUGCGGGUUAGGGCGGGGAGACCGUUGCCAUUCCUGGAGGCCGGAGGGAUACGCGGGGUCACCUCAUGAGCGCACAAGCAGAAGAAGAAAGUCGAGGAAGAAGAACGGUGUCACACUUACGAUGACCAUUGGAUGCUGAUCGGAUGCUCUAGAAAAUCGACUGACUUUUUUUAGACAUUAGAUCUAAUGUUUUUUUUAGGCAUCUGUUAAAUAGGUGCCCCUUUCAACCAAUGAAUGAUGAAGCCGAGUGGUAAAUAAUUGUUUGCCAAUCAUGUUUAGUGUACGAUGGACGUGACGUUUCACGUUGUGAAGGGUGUAAGCAGGUGGCAAUGCAAAGUAAUGCUUGGAAGUGGCAGUGGCUCUGUGAGGUUGGACCUCAAUCCGUGAACUCUGCCCGCUUGACGUAACUAGAAAAGCCAGCUACGCACGCUGUUGGAUUUCGACCCAGAAAAGAGGAGAAGCUGUUGACGCUGUCUCUUUAAGACUUCCAUUCAUACCUUCCUCUCUUGGGAAACAUUCAGGAGCACACAUGUUGCGAAUGGACUCGCCCAAGACGAAACACGCUGCCAUAAGAUGCUGAUGUCACCGAAGAAAAUAACCAAGCAGUGCCAGUGCCGUCUCCAACCCGGCGCUGGCUGAUGUGAUAACAGGGUGGAUCACACAGACAUCGACGACGACGCAUCACAGUUUGUCCUGAAUUAACCUACUACGCCCGCCCUGCUCCACAGAUUUUGAAGGCGGUAUGAGGAACAGCCUUGCUCUGUUCGAGCCGCACGACACGUUGACGAGUCAAAACCAAAGGAGAUGUCGUUCUGCAACCGCGAUCAGGGCAAUGCAUCUCCAACACGAACGGCUGAACCUUUUCUACUCCCUCCAUUUUUAUUUACUCCGCAUAUUAGUUUUGGUCAAAGUUAAGCUUUAUAAACUUUGAUAAAGGUUAAUAGACCAAAAUAUUAACAUAUACAAUAACAACCAAUACCAUUAGAUUCAUUAUUGAAUGUAGUUUCACAUCAUAUAGAUUUGUUAUGAUAAUUAUUUAUAGUAUUUUAUGUAAACAUGGUCAAAUUAUACGAAGUUUGACUGCAGUCAACUCUAAUAUGCAGAGUAAAUAAUAAUGGAGCGAGUAUAUGUUUGGAUCGGACUAUCCAAACACUCUUAGGCUCUCAAUGCGGUCAUUCAUUUUAGGUCGGACCGUUUCGUAUCUUUGAAAUCCCUCAGGUCACUCCAUAUGAACUCCGACAUCCUAGAUCCGCCCAACAGUCGCCCACAUAUUUCACACAAAUGGAGGCUCAACGGCCUCUGCCCUACACGUAUUCACGCAUGGUCGGUCAGUGUGCCAACGUACACGACUACACCUACACGACAAUUAAGAGCCAACUGGUGACCCCUCUAACCCCUAACCUAGCCACAACCAUUUCUUUCAUUUCCAUCCAUUCGAGCUGUUGUCGCCUGGAGCAGAGCCCUCCACCCCCCAUCCACCUUCACGAGGUCCGUCGUUGGCAUGAUCAGCUCGAAGCUCACAUGGUACACUAUUUUGAUGCCGGAGCGCCAUCGUGUGCCAGAUGUUGCGUGAGGCCCGCAUUGCAGUGGGCCAANNNNNNNNNNNNNNNNNNNNNNNNNNNNNNNNNNNNNNNNNNNNNNNNNNNNNNNNNNNNNNNNNNNNNNNNNNNNNNNNNNNNNNNNNNNNNNNNNNNNNNNNNNNNNNNNNNNNNNNNNNNNNNNNNNNNNNNNNNNNNNNNNNNNNNNNNNNNNNNNNNNNNNNNNNNNNNNNNNNNNNNNNNNNNNNNNNNNNNNNNNNNNNNNNNNNNNNNNNNNNNNNNNNNNNNNNNNNNNNNNNNNNNNNNNNNNNNNNNNNNNNNNNNNNNNNNNNNNNNNNNNNNNNNNNNNNNNNNNNNNNNNNNNNNNNNNNNNNNNNNNNNNNNNNNNNNNNNNNNNNNNNNNNNNNNNNNNNNNNNNNNNNNNNNNNNNNNNNNNNNNNNNNNNNNNNNNNNNNNNNNNNNNNNNNNNNNNNNNNNNNNNNNUGACGGGAGGUCCAUGAUGAUAAUGAGGCGCUCGCUGACGAGGAGGAAGCUAUGGCCGUUGACGCCGCUGUCGACAGGGAGGACAGUCCCUUCUCCAUGUUGGAGGUGGAGGAGCAAUUCGCCCCCCGCGAUACUGGAGGAGGAGCACAACUAAGACACAAUUGGAGGCGGAUCAUGCGGAUGCUGCAGACAUGGCGGCACUCCUUGCGGACCCGGAACUUGUCUUCAAGAACUAGGCACUCUUCGCGUCCAUGCAGAGCGCCUGCAUGGUCGAGUAGGAUUAGAAGUAGUUCUCUCUAGUUUAUUAGAGCUCGUUAGACUUGUACAAAUCUAUGAACUAGUAUGUAUCAAAGUUGCAUGGAUUAGUGUUCACCUUGUUUAUGAGGAAUAUCAUUGUAUGGCCUGCUCCCGAUCGAAUAUCCGCAGAAAUGUCUAGACAUGUCCACAAAUAUUCGAGGGCAUUCGUAAUCUGCGUUGGAGAUGCCUGGGUAUCUAGGGGCGUCCGUUUGAUAAUCCUGGUUAGAGAUGCCCCUUGAAAUUGUUGCAUGCCCAGGCUGAUCAUUCAGUCACUCGUUUCCUCCAUACGUUCAUUUAAAUUUCAGUUUUGCUAGAACUCAUCUCGAUGAGAUAUAAUUUGGUCUCAUUCAUCUUUCAUAGCCAUUGGAUGUGAUGCUAUAAGAUGCGUGUGUGCUGACGUGGGUUGUAUCUCUUCUUGUUUUCAAAGUGAAUGAGACCAAAUUAUAUCUCAUCUAGAUGAGUUCUAGGUACUCCCGACGACAACGGCGGCACAACUUAUCCCGAUUUCACCUACUGCAUCUUCCUUCAGGGCGGUACGAUGAACACCCUUGCUCCACACGAGCCGCGCUACACGACGGCACUGUCGUUCUUGAAAUUGAUGGAUCAUGGAUGACCAACCUAGUUUCUCAGCCAGAUCAACCAGUGACCCGCUUCCUGUGAGGCCAAGCCUUGCAUUUAAUUUUCCUCCACGUACGGGUACGGCACAUGAAGAACACGAUGAAAUAGUAGGAGUACGUACUCAAUGCAAGGUCGUGGUCAGACGUUGGUGGGUGCAAGCAACUGAAGCUUGCACGCAAGUAACCAAAGAGCGCUCGCACGCAGAUGAAGAGCAGCAGCUGGCGGGUGUGUGUGUCGCUGCCGGCGGCAUGGUCGGACGUACCGUUGCAAAGCUGGAUUUUUCAGAAUCACAAUGAUGCCACUAUCGAAAGGCAUCACAAAGCCGAAGUGCAUGCUAUGCUAGCAAGGAUAUAAAUACCAACACACCCAAGAUGAUCCAAACAAGCCAAACACCAGCUCUAGCGACCAGCAAGUAGUAAUACUUCCAACCAAACUCGUUGCCACCGCGGAUCAAAAGGUUAAGACGCCCAUUACCGCGCGCGCGGCACUGCCGAUCGAUCGACGAGACGACAGACCCACGCGCGCCAUGCCGUCGCCGGAGCCCGGAAGCAUCGCGACCCGGUGGCGCGAGCUGCAGGGCGCGGGGUCGUGGGAGGGGCUGCUGGACCCGCUGGACCGGGACCUGCGCGCCUCCAUCAUCGCCUACGGCGAGCUGGCGGAGGCCACCUACGACGGAUUCAACUCGCAGCGCCGCUCGCCCCACGCUGGCGCGUGCUUCUACGGCCAUGACGACCUGCUCGCCGCCGCCGGCGUGGUCCACGCUGGCCACUACGCCGUCACCAAGUUCAUCUAUGCGACAGGCGGGUUCUUCCUGGCGCCGACGACGGGGACGUCAGUGCCCGAUGCCUUCUUCGUGCUGCCGCUACCGUCGCUGCUGGAGGAGCCCUGGUGCCGGGAGUCCAACUGGAUGGGGUACGUGGCCGUGGCCACCGACGAGGGCGUGGCGGCGCUCGGCCGGCGCGACAUCGUCGUCGCCUGGCGCGGUACCGUGGAGAGCCUCGAGUGGGUCAACGACCUGGACUUCACGCCGGCGUGGGCCGCGCCCGUGCUCGGCUCAGCUGCUGGUGAUUUUGAUUCCGCCGUGGUGCACCACGGGUUCCUGUCGGUGUACACGUCCAGCGACGAGGACUCCAAGUUCAACCAGCAGAGCGCCAGGGAUCAGGUGAGCGUUACUUGCUUUUCUAAGCUUGUUUGCUGGAAGAGACGACCGCGAGUCAAGCAAGCAUACGCAAUUAUGCAUGCAUGUAUAGAAAAGUAAAUAUUUAAUGUACAAAUCGUCCAGUGGUAUUGUAUGCUAGAACCUUCCAAAAAAAAAGAGAAAGCUCAUUUUUGUAAAGAAUACUCCGAAAUGAUAACUCGCAAAAAGGUGGUACUAAAGUAUAACUAUUUAUGUGAAGGCCAUUUUUUGAGCAGUUAUUAUAGCAUCCACCACCCUAGGACUCACAUCUCAGGCCCUAACGUCCGUCUAUAUAUUCACUUAAAGAAAAUAACUUCAAAAAAUACGGCAAUGACCUUCCAACAAAUAUCUAACAUGGCAAAAUCAACCUUCCGCCAAAUAAAAUCAACUUUCCGCCAAUAUCUAUAUCAACCUUCCCCAAAUAAAAUCAACUUUCCGCCAAUACCUAACAUGGCCAAAUCAAAUUUCUGCCAAAUGAAAUCAACUUUCUGCCAAACCCGUCCGCCAAAAUGAAUUCAACUUUCCACCAGUAUCUAACAUAGCCAAAACAAACCUUUGGCCAAAUGAAAUCAAUCUAUCGCCAAAUGGGUACAUGGCCAAGGCCGAUGUCCAAACUCCCGCAAAACUCUCACAGGUUUGCUUCCGGAAUUCGGACAAGUAGACGAGUCCGCGGACAAAUACGGGUCUAUAUUGGAUGACAAACUACGUCAGAAUAGCUUGGUCCGGACAGAUGAGGGAGUUUGUUUAGUUUGUUUAGUUUGGCGUUUGGGCUAAUUAAGCUUACAACAGUCGCUAAGGAUUUUGAUAUUUCUCUAUCCCCGUAUCAAUUAGCAUCGGUGCUACAUAACUUUUCUCACCUCUUCAUUUAGCAUCCACUUAACACAUAGGGAUGAAGGAGUAGAGUAACACAUUCGUUUAGUGGUUAUGUUUUUUUUCUUAUAUUUUUUUCUUUUUUGAGAAACCAAACUGAUUUAGUAUUGAUGAGGGUCAGAUAUAUUGGUAGGCAGCCACAUCUAACACUUUUUUUUGCGGGGUGCCACAUCUAACACUUGAAAGUUGAAAGGUAGGUUUGCUAUAGAAGAGAUGUAUUUUUUGAUGAAAUGUCAGCACAUUUAGAAGUGAUCGACAGUGUAGUAAGAUGCGAAGCUCGAUCUGAGACGGCCCCACCAUCGACAAGCUCCGGCAGCGUGUCGUAUGUAGAUUUCUUGAAGAAUUGGAUCUCCCAAUGUUCAAAGUUUGUUGUACCGAUCGACACACACACAAACGAAAGCUGCGUGUGCUGUUUGCAUUAAUUGUUCAAUUUAAUUCAGCUAUCUAGAGCUCGAUUAAAUACUUGAAUGCUUGUUGAUCAAGCGUGCACGCAUGGAUGCCACAUGCAGGUCAUGGAGGAGGUGCGGAGGCUGAUGGAGGCGCACAAGGAGGAGGUGACCAGCAUCACCGUCACGGGCCACAGCCUCGGUGCGUCGCUGGCGACCCUCAACGCAGUCGACAUGGUCUCCCACGGCGUUAACGUGCCGCCCUCCUCGCCACAGCAGCAGCCAUGCCCGGUGACGGCGAUCCUCUUCGCGAGCCCGCACGUAGGCGACGACAGCUUCAAAUCGGCCUUUGCUUCGUUCCCGGACCUUCGUGCGCUUCAUGUGAGGAACGCCGGCGACGUGGUGCCUCUAUACCCGCCGAUUGGGUACGUGGAUGCGGCAACAGCUGUGCUGCCCGUGGACACUGGCCGGUCACCGUACUUGAAGCAGCCGGGCACCGUGCAGACGCGCCACAACCUCGAGUGCUACCUGCACGGCGUUGCCGGGUUCCAGGGUGCUGGCGGUGGGUUCAAGCUUGAGGUGGACCGCGAUGUGGCCCUGGUGAACAAGGGUGCUGACGCGCUCAAGGAUAAGUACCCAGUGCCGCCCAACUGGCAUGUCAUCAACAACAAGUCCAUGGUGAGGGACUCCGAUGGCCACUGGAAGCUCAGAGACUUCGAGGAGACCUGAUUGAGAUGCGUAUAUGUGCUGCCACAUGCCAAUGCCACGUACAACUAAUGGUGAUAUGCAUAGUUUUAUGUCAAAUAAAAAUGGUUAUGAAAUUUAUUUAUACAAGAUAUACUAAGCCGGCAUACAGUAAUAAUAUAUUUUAGUUGAACGAUAUAGUAAUAAUAUGUCACAGCCCUAGAAUUUGGUUGCAGUUAGUUGCAUAAGCAUCCAUGUCAUCAUGUUUAAUUUCAAAUGAAUUUGAAAUGGGGGAUGUUUAAACCCUAGCAUAAAAAGGAAUCCAUCAGGUUCAACUAAAAUAUUUUUCAGUGAACCCAAAUGGCCUUCAAAAAUGUUCAUCAUUUUUGGAAAAUGCUGGAAACAGCAACCAGAGGUGAUGCACAUUUUUGCAUGACAUUUUGAAUUGUUGAAUUAACACAUAUUGUAUUUUGAAUUGGAGCAAAUAAAUACCAUAAAUAAUCUAUUGCUCCAAUAAUUCCGAUUUUUGUUGAGGGGCUUUGGAAUAAUCCUUUUAGUCCCUGCAAAAUUUAUCAGAAGCAACAAAAUUAGUUUGGUUCAAAAACCAAAUUAAAACAAAUGUCAGAAAUAGAAGACAGAAACAAAAUGGAGAAAGGAGCUCACCUGGGCCAACUUACCUGUGCAGCCACCAGAGCCAGCCUAGUAGGGGCCCAGCCCACCACCUCCUCUCCGUCGUCUUCCUCCCCCUCGCCCCGAAGCAGCUCGGUGGCGAGCGCCGACGCCGCCCUGGCCACCUCCUGCCUGCCUGCAUCUCUCCCCGACACCUUGGACGACGCCACACAGACCCCCUGACCCCCCGACCUUCUCCCGCUUCCCCAAUGCCUCUCCCCCCUCCUCUGCUCUUCCCCGUAGCACCACCGAGCGCAGCCGACGCCGCCGACGCCGAUUACCGCGGCCACAGCCACUGCCUCACCUCUCCGACGCGCCCACGAGCCCCGCCGUGCCGCCCUCAUCCUCUCCGUCGUCCCACGCAAGUAGAAGAGCCCCGACGCGCCGCCCCCGACGCCUUCUUCUUCCUCGGGUCGCCUAGAUCGCCUCCGCCGCCCCACUCGCUUCGGACCUCCUCCGAGCUCUCCGUCUGCACUACUACAACCACCGUGAGCUCCUGCCCGUUCCCCCUCCUUCGUUUUGCUUGUUUUCGUGCCGUAGCACCCUCACCGCGAGCUCCGAGCUCCGGCCGCCGCCAUGGCUGACGAACUCCAUGCUCCUGCGCUCUCCUGCUCGCCCCAUCAGCACAAACAUGCUCACCGCGUCUUCGGGAAGCGAACGCGCCGCGCCCUUUGCUCUAGCUCGCGCUGAAACCCCGCACCCGCUCGAGCUCGAGCUACGCCGCCGCUAAACCUCGACGCCGGUGACACACCCGGCCACCCCAGGACUGCCCGAAGCCACCAACGAACGCGCCUCGUUGCGCCGCUUCCAACGUGCCCAGCCACGCGAGCUCCCAUCGCCGGAGUUGGCCGGACGGGCGUCGCCGUCGUGCUGUGCUUAAGCUUAGAUUAAUCCAGCCGGCCCCACUUGUCAGUUUGACCAUGCCACGUCAGCGUUGACCUGGCCCACUAGUCAGCCUCUGUUCCCGCCCUGUGCAACUGACGUGUGGACCCACUGGUCAGUUUGACCUGGGCCGCCCGUUGACCUGCUGACCUCAGCCUUACGUCAUGCUGAUGCAGUAAGUAUUUUCUAGAAUUAAAAUAAAUCAAAAUGAUUUAUUUAUUUCAAAAAAUAUCCAAAACUUCUAAAAAUCAUAUAAAAUCAUCCGUAACUCCAAAUGAAACAAAUUAUAUAUGAAAAAUGAUCAGAAAAAUCCAAUCUAUCAAUCUGUACCAUUUUCAUGCAUGUUAGAACAACUUAUAGCUGUUGUUUAGAACAAAUCAUAUAAAUGGAAUUUAAACCUUCACAUAUGGAGUUUGAAUUUGAAUCUUGGAUUCAAACCAACUUCAUUUAACCUGUUGUUAGUUGCAUUAGCUCAAAUCACAGUAUAUUGCCAUGUCAUGAUCAUGCAUCAUAUUGUUGCAUUGCAUUGAUUGUGUUUCCUCUCUGUUGCCGGUAAUUGUCCCCCCUCAGUAGACGUGGUACCGACGAUGAGAUCGAUGACAUCGAUGAAGAGCUAUACUAUCUUCAGAAGUGCCAGGCAAGCAAAACCCCCUUGUUCAUUCCGAUACAAUCCCGCUCUCUCGCUCCUGCUCUCUUUUACUGCAUUAGGACAACAACGAUUCAACUGUUACAUGCUGCGGUAGUUGAACCCCUUUCCUCUGCAUGACCUGUCAUUGCCACCGUAAAUAGAUUGAACCCACUAGCAUGAGUAGGAGUUGUUUGAGCCCUAAUGUGCCUACUCAUUCAUGCUUGUUUGUCAUGCCUGUUGGGGAACGUUGCAGAAAAUAAAAAUUUUCUACGCUUCACUAAGAUCAAUGUAUGGAGUCAUCUAGCAACGAGAGAGAGGAGUGCAUCUACAUACCCUUGUAGAUCGCGAGCGGAAGCAUUCAAGAGAACGGGGUUGAGGGAGUCGUAUUCGUCGUGAUCCAAAUCACCGAAGAUCCUAGUGCUGAACGGACAACACCUCCGCGUUCAACACACGUACGGUUGGGGAAGACGUCUCCUCCUUCUUGAUCCAGCAAGGGGGAAGGAGAGGUUGAUGGAGAUCCAGCAGCACGAUGGCAUGGUGGUGGAAGUAGCAGCGAUCUCGGCAGGGCUUCGCCAAGCUCAGCGAGAGGGAGAGGUGGUACGGGGGGAGAGGGAGGCGCCAAGGACUAGGGUGCGGCUGCCCUCCCUCCCCCUCUUUAUAUAGGGGGCCUAGGGGUGCGUCGGCCCCUAGAGAUCCCAUCUCCAGAGGGGGGCUAGGGGGGGGGGACUUGCCCCUCAAGUCAAGUGGGGCGCCCCCCACCCCUAGGGUUUCCAACCCUAGGCGCAGGGGAGGCCCAAGGGGGGCGCACCAGCCCACCAGGGGCUGGUUCCCUUCUCUCUUCAGCCCACGUGGCCCUCCGGGAUAGGUGGCCCCACCCAAUGGACCCUCGGGACCCUUUCGGUGGUCCUAGUACAAUACCGGUGACCCCCGAAACUUUCCCAGUGACCGAAACUGGACUUCCUAUAUACAAUUCUUCACCUCCGGACCAUUCCGAAAGUCCUCAUGACGUCCGGGAUCUCAUCCAGGACUCCGAACAACUUUCGGGUUACCGCAUACUAAUAUCUCUACAACCCUAGCAUCACCGAACCUUAAGUGUGUAGACCCUACGAGUUCGGGAAUCACGUAGACAUGACCGAGACAGCUCUCCGGCCAAUAACCAACAGCGGGAUCUGGAUACCCAUGUUGGCUCCCACAUGUUCCAUGAUGAUCUCAUCGGAUGAACCAUGAUGUCGAGGAUUCAAGUAAUCCCGUAUACAAUUCCCUUUGUCAAUCGGUACGUUACUUGCCCGAUAUUUGAUCGUCGGUAUCCCAAUACCUUGUUCAAUCCCGUUACCGGCAAGUCACUUUACUCGUACCGUAAUGCAUGAUCCCGUGACCAAACACUUGGUCACAUUGAGCUCAUUAUGAUGAUGCAUUACCGAGUGGACCCAGAGAUACCUCUCCGUCAUACGGAGUGACAAAUCCCAGUCUCGAUCCAUGUCAACCCAACAGAUACUUUCGGGGAUACCCGUAGUAUACCUUUAUAGUCACCCAGUUACGUUGUGACGUUUGGUACACCCAAAGCACUCCUACGGUAUCCGCGAGGUACACGAUCUCAUGGUCUAAGGAAAUGAUACUUGACAUUGGAAAAGCUCUAGCAAACGAACUACACGAUCUUGUGCUAUGCUUAGGAUUGGGUCUUGUCCAUCACAUCAUUCUCCUAAUGAUGUGAUCCCGUUAUCAACGACAUCCAAUGUUCAUAGUCAGUAAACCAUGACUAUCAGUUGAUCAACGAGCUAGUCAACUAGAGGCUCACUAGGGACAUGUUGUGGUCUAUCUAUUCACACAUGUAUUAUGAUUUCCGGAUAACACAAUUAUAGCAUGAACAAUAGACAAUUAUCAUGAACAAGGAAAUAUAAUAAUAAUCAUUUUAUUAUUGCCUCUAGGGCAUAUUUCCACAAUGCCUGCUAUUGCUUAGAGUUGUGUCAGGUCUGAUUCAUCGGGGAUGAAUUGGAGGUGUGUAAACAUGUCCUACUGUGUGUAAACUAAGUGUGUGAACACGAUUUGGUAAAGGUAGCGGUGAGAGGCCAUGUAGAAGUACAUGGUGGGUUGUCUCAUUGCAGCCGUCCUCAGGAACUGAGUUCUGUGUUUGUGAUCCAUGAACAGCUACUAUCACACAUUGGGUUCCGGUAACUCGGCCCCUCUCGGCUUAUUAAUCAACUUGAUCUCUGUCCAAGAGUUGCAACUAGUUUCUGGUGUUUGUAGGUAGUGUUAGUAGUCUACCAAGUGGCACCCGGUACAGGUGGGCUUGGGACAGACUAGGCACAGUGGCACGGUGUACCAAGUGGCACCCGGAUGGUGGGCUUGGGAACCCUGCUCACAUCGUUUGGGGCCAUGAAUGACACUCCGACCGGAUCUCCUUGCGGAUGGAACCCGAAUAGGCAAUAAACCUGGAUGAGAGACUUGUGUGGUUAGUCAGGUCAUGGCCGACACCCUCGCUGGGCUUCCGCUUGAAGGUUGCCGAGUACAUGUCAUGUAAACGGCGGUAAGUGGUGAGAGCGUGUGUGAAGAAGUACACCCCUGCAGGGUUAACAUUAUCUAUUCGAAUAGCCGUGUCCACGGUAAAGGACUUCUGGGUUGCCUGUAUAGUUCAUAGACAAGUGAAAGUGGAUACUCUAAAAUGCGCAAGAUAAGCGUGAGUGCUAUGGAUGGCGUUCUCGUAGGAAGACGGGAGAGGAUCCAUGGUGGUGUAUUGAUAUGGUGAAUAUGUGGACUCGUGUGCGCCACCUCAAAAGAGUUACUUGCAGUCGUAGUUCAGGAUAGCCACCGAGUCAAAGCUGGCUUGCUGCAGUUAAACCCCACCAGCCCUUUGUUGAUAAUGAUGCAUAUGUAGUUAGUUCUGAUGUAAGUCUUGCUGGGUACAUUUGUACUCACGUUUGCCUAUUUUAUGUUUUUGCAGAGAGACUUCACUCUCGCUAGUAGUUCCGCAUGAACUUUGACGUUUAGCUUGUUACCUCAGCUUCGAUCUUGUGCCCUCGGCAGGAUCUGGUAGAUAGUCAGGCUUCUCAACCUUUUUCAUUUGUAGAUGUCUGUACUCAGACAUGUUAAGCUUUCGCUUGUGCUUUUACUUGUAUGCUCUGAAUGUUGGGUCAUGAGACCCAUGUUUGUAAUAUCUGACUCCUCGGAGCCUAUUGAAUAAAAUACUUGAGUUGUAGAGUCAUGUUGUGAUGCCAUGUUGUAUUUGCACAUAUCAAGCAUAUUGUGUGUAUGUUAUUGAAAUGCUUGGUAUGUGUGGGAUCUGACUAUCUAGUUGUUUAUCCAUGGUAGCCUCUCUUAUCGGGAAAUGUCUCCUAGUGCUUCCACUGAGCCCUGGUAGCUUGCUACUGCUCCGGAACACUUAGGCUGGCCGGGAUGUGUCCUUCUUCGUUCCUGUGUCUGUCCCUUCGGGGAAAUGUCAUGCGGUGUCUGUCGGAGUCCUAUUAGCCUGCUACAGCCCGGUUUACCGGGGUCCUGCUAGCCCAGUUGCUACAGCCCGGAUUCACUCGCUGAUGACCGACACGUUCGUUGCUGGGUCAUGUAUGCCUGUCCCUGUAAGUUAGUGCCACUUUGGGUUCACGACUAGUCAUGUCAGCCCGGGCUCCUUGUUAUAUAGAUGCUAGCGACACUAUCAUAUACGUGUGCCAAAAGGCGCAAACGGUCCCGGGCCUGGUAAGGCGACACCCAUGGGAAUAUCGUGCGUGAGGCCGCAAAGUGAUAUGAGGUGUUACGUGCUAGAUCAGUGUGGCAUUGAGUUGGGGUCCUAACAGCUUUGGUAUCAGAGUCUGACUGCCUGUAGGAUUACCAAGCCAAACUGGUCGAAGUUGAGUCUAGAAAUUCUUUAGUUAUAUAAGGGAAUUGAUUGUGGGAUGGAACGUAAGGCUCUUUUUACUCCUUAUACCCCAUGCCCUUCUGAUCUGAGUCAUCCUAUCUUCUUACGGGGUUAAGGAACUAGGAUAUCUCUUCUUUCUAUCAGGAUCACGUGUUACUAAUCCGUAGACUUAUAGGAUUGUUGGUUUCAAGCCUCAGUUAAGUUCCUACUACCUCUGUGUGUUCAUAGUUGAUCUCGGAACCUUGAUAUUGUGAUAUCGAGUGGCUAUGCCACCACUUUGCAGGAUGUCUCAAAUAUUUUUGAGCAAUUACAGCCGUUAUGCUGUCCGAGUCAUCCCAGGUUUCUAAAUAAUCUGAUGCAUUUGCAAAUCCCUUCCUACCGUUUCAAAGUUCCUUUGUGCUAGAUUAACCACACUAAUUGGUGAGUUGAGAUACUUUAUUGCCUCGACAUAUAUGUUGGAGCUAUUAUUAUGACCCUAUGUGUCUUAAAGAACCACCUAGUAAUCCAUUCAUGUGUUGUGUUCACAGUGUGAUGAUUCUGGCCAUCAUUCUCGAAAGCAUCCCGUGAUGCCACUUAGUAGUAGGUACUCUGUUACUGGGUUUUUGAACCCGAGAUUCACUCCACUUACUUCAUGUUGAUAGUGUUUGCUAGCUCCUUUAGGAUAUUAGUAACCUUUGCGAUAGUCCUCGAUGUGCAUGGUAUUUCCUUCUUCCAAAUACCAUGUACUGCUUAUGGCAGAAGUUCCUCGUUGAACCGAAAGAUCACAAUUAGUGUGCUCUUCUCGAGUUCUCAAUUCUAUAUUGUAACUCUGCCAGUUCAACCUUUCUUCAUGGGUUAUCCAGAAGAAAUAUGUUGAACUCGUUCGACAUGCUAAUCCAUGCAUCCACAACUCAGAAAAUCAUAUGUUCUUUUGAGUUGUCCCUCUUUAGUUGUCUUCUGACCUCGUCUGUCAAUUGAUAGUCAAGAGUAUGCGUGCAUUCGUUCAUUGAUGCCUAUUACUCUUGUGGUCCGUCAAGCCAUUCUAAUCAGAAUGACUAUGAGAAACAAACUCCAGUACCUGAUCCAUAUCCAGGAUCGGGUCAAAGUAGUUGUACCUCGCAGAUCAAAAUGCCAACCCAGCUUUUGUUCUGUUCCACCCUGAAGUAUUACCCACUUUAUGUCAGGAAUGUCAUGACGAUUUCACCUUCUCUUAUGGAUUCUUGAUGUAGUGAUACUUCUUGCCAUCAUUGUUCAUUCCUUGGUUCUGUGUUGUCGCAACCAGAGUGCCGACGAGUGAAUCGUGAUGUGUGAAAUCAAUACUUCUAGCAUCUUUGUUGCUUGGUAGUUAAAGGACAAUACUUUCAUUCUUAGUGUGUUGGUUCUUGAAUCGAUAGAUUGUGCUACCUAGUCCUUAUUUUCGGUGCACCUUCCGAUCAAUGAGUUAGGGCUAUGCCAAUCCCUUGCUUAUUUGAUCAUCUCGUCUUGCCCUGAAAAGCAAGAUUGUUCUCGAGCUUAAUAGCAUAUCGGUGGUUCGUGAUUUUCCGAUUAUCUUCUCGGAAGUAUUACCAGGUUGUCACCUGACCGCUAUGUUGAAUUGUGAUCAAGUUGGUUUCUUGUAAACCACCCCUUCUCCAAGAGUCUGUGUUGGAUACCCCUGAGCUAGUUGGUUAAGCUAAACAACAACUUGGAGAGUUGGAAGAUAAAAGCUUGCCUAACUUAGUUCAUUUCCAAAGGGAUAUCUUGUGUUGUGUGUUUGUUGUAGAAAGAUGAUUUCUUCAUUGAUUGGUCCUCGUGAUCAGUUAAUGGAUCUAUCAUCUUGUCCAAUCUUUGAUUUGAGUGUGGGCUAUUCUCAAAUCAAAUCAGAACCAAUGAUGCUCGUAAUGUUGUCUUACUCGUGGUUUUUCCUUGAGCAUACUGCAUUACAUCCUUUGGUCUGAUCAAUGCUAUCACCUUGUUCACAUGAUUGUGGAAUUCCAUUAUAUGGAAAUCCCGAUGACUUGUUGUUGAGCCCAUCGACAACAUCCUUAUCUCCUCCAUGAUUCGUGUUGAACAUUGAACUAGUGUUGGAAAUUUGUGAAAGCAUUUUCUUCGUGUCUCGUUCAUGAAGCAUAUGCUUGGAUGAAAGAAGUGGCUUCCUCUAAUUCACGUGCAUAUGAUGCAAGUUGCCGUCGUGAAUUUCAGAAAGUUUGUUUUGUUUUCCCUGGAUCCAUCUCAAGUCAGCCAUGUACUUGCGAAGUAUUCUAUGGUUUGAUAGACUGAUCAUCUUCAUUCGAUAUGUAUAUCCUAGCACACCAAGCCACUCAUUGAGUUGUUCAAAGAUAAAGGAGUCUAUCCAAGGUGAACUCUCUGGACUUCCACGCGUGGAGACUUCGAUGUCAUUAAUGAUGGUUCCCAACCUGAACUCGGUAGUGUUUUACUAUAAGACUAUUAUGUGGUCAUGCUUGUUUUGGACAACAUGUUCACAUGUGUGUAGCAGAACCAACUCAUGUUUUGGAGCUUACUACCGUAGUCCAUUUCCUGAGAAUCUUGCAACGUCUUCUCGUCGAUUGUGUUGCAAACUUUCAUUUUCCUUUCUAGACUUGAUGAGUCUGGAAUAUCCUGACACCAACCAGAUCUGAAUCUCAGGCAGAUGUGAUGGUUGGAACAUUUCCCAAGAGCUAUAAUAAUUGUCUCUCUGUAACCUGGUAAAGUGGAUGUCAUGGCCAACACACCCAGCUGGAAGACCUAUUAUUGUAGUAUCCUGAUUGAGGAAGUUGGCCACCUCCCCAUAAGGAUUUCGUAGGAUUUACCUCCGUAAUUGUUCCUUAUGGAUUCUUGUGCUCCCGAAAUCCGACCUUUUACUUGAUGUUCUAGAUACCAAACCAUAUCAAUAAAUGGGUUAUGCUAGCACAUCAAGGGGAACAUUAGAAGUGGAGUGCUAAAUGUCUCUCGGUCGAUCAUCUAGAUUUUUUUUCCUUGGCCUCGCUAAGGUGAAAUCUGAGGAAGUGUUGUCUUCCUUUGCAUCUGUAUCGUCCACCACUAUUCAUCAUGGUAGUAUGAUGUGUUGCCAGGAUCCUCGGCAUGGAUGUUGGUAAGACCCUGAUGAACAUGGAAAUCCUCAAGUUCUUGAGGGCAUGCUCAGACACUAGGUUAUAUCCUCGAUAUCAAUUGGAAUGUGCCUUCCAUUUGUCGAGUUGUCUUAUAACUCUAGUUUCCUUUCCAAACUGAGUAUGACAUUCUUUCGAAUUCGUUCAAACGAUCGAUUGUAAUUUGCCUUUGGCUGGUAUAGAGAGUUUGUAUGAUCUAUGAAUCAAAAGUAAUUCUUUUUGCGACUUCAAAGAAUAUUCUAGGAGUCACCUUCUCUAAGGUGCCCCGUUAUGGAAUCAUGGCAAUAAUCUCCUCGCUACUUUGAAUCCAUGCACCAUCUUCUUCAGCGUGGAAGUUUGCCUGCCCAAUUGAACCCUUGUUAUCUACCUCUUUCCAUUGCUCCUGAUGUGUGUUUUAUGUCUCCACCAAGAGAUGUUCUUACGUCUCAAUCCAGGAGUUGAUCUUCAGUGCUCGAUCUUCGAGAAGAUCAAUUCCUGUAGGGUUUCUAUCUGGCGUCAUAUUUGGAUGAAGAUCUCGAAAGGAAGGAUCUCAAGAUCAAUAUGAUGCAAUGGAUCAACAUCUUCGAGAAAUGCAGUUGGAUCAUGAAGAUCGUGUUAGCUCUGUGCCCCCUCUGUCUUAUUACCACACGUCUUGAAUCUCGGGACGAGAUUCUAGUUUAGUGGGGGUGACUUGUCACAGCCCUAGAAUUUGGUUGCAGUUAGUUGCAUAAGCAUCCAUGUCAUCACGUUUAAUUUCAAAUGAAUUUGAAAUGGGGGAUGUUCAAACCCUAGCAUAAAAACGAAUCCACCAGGUUCAACUAAAAUAUUUUUCAGUGAACCCAAAUGCCCUUAAAAAAUGUUCAUCAUUUUUGGAAAAUGCUGGAAAUAGCAACCAAAGGUGAUGCACAUUUUUGCAUGACAUUUUGGAUUGUUGAAUUAACACAUAUUUUAUUUUGAAUUGGAGCAAAUAAAUACCAUAAAUAAUUUAUUGCUCCAAUAAUUUUGAUUUUUGUUGAGGGGCUUUGGAAUAAUCCUUUUAGUCCCUGCAAAAUUUAUCAGAAGCAACAAAAUUAGUUUGGUUCAAAAACCAAAUUAAAACAAAUGUCAGAAAUAGAAGACAGAAACAAAAUGGAGAAAGGAGCUCACCUGGGCCAACUUACCUGUGCAGCCACCAGAGCCAGCCCAGCAGCGGCCCAGCCCACCUCCUCCUCUCUGUCGUCUUCCUCCCCCUCGCCCCGAAGCAGAUCGGUGGCGAGCACCGACGCUGCCCUGGCCACCUCCUACCUGCCUGCAUCUCUCCCCGACACCUUGGACGAUGCCACGCAGACCCCCCUGACCCCCCCGACAUUCUCCCGCUUCCCCAGUGCCUCUCCCCCUCCUCUGCUCUUCCCCGCAGCACCACCGAGCGCAGCCGACGCCGCCGACGCCGAUUACCGCGGCCACAACCACUGCCUCGCCUCUCCGACGCGCCCCCGAGCCCUGCCGUGCCGUCCUCGUCCUCUCCAUCGUCCCACGCAAGCAGAAGAGCCCCGACAUGCCUCCCCCGACGCCUUCUUCUUCCUCGGGUCACCGAGAUCGCCUCCGCCGCCCCACUCACUUCGGACCUCCUCCGAGCUCUCCGUCUGCACUUCUACAACCACCGUGAGCUCCUGCCCGUUCCCCCUCCUUUGUUUUGCUUGUUUCCGUGCCGUAGCACCCUCACCCGCAAGCUUCGAGCUCCGGCCGCCGCCAUGGCCGACGAACUCCAUGCUCCUACGCUUUCCUGCUCGCCCCAUUACCACAAACAUGCUCACCGCGUCUCCGAGAAGCGAACGCGCAGCACCCUUUGCUCUAGCUCGCGCUGAAACCCCGCACCCGCUCGAGCCCGAGCUACGCCGCCGCUAAACCUCGACGCCGGUGACACACCCGGCCACCCUAGGACUGCCCGAAGCCACCAACGAACGCGCCUCGUUGCGCUGCUUCCAACGCGCCCAGCCACGCGAGCUCCCAUCGCUGGAGUUGGCCGGACGGGCGUCGCCGUCGUGCUGUGCUUAGCACCAGCGUUUAGCCGCAGACGUGGCAUCGUCAAUAGCGGCUAAUGACCCCGCUAAUUAACCCCCCCUCUCUCACUGACAUAGGGGCCCCAUUCCCAAAUUAACUCUGGGAUUUAUUCCCUGUUGUGCUUAUAUUAAUCCAGCCAGCUCCACUUGUCAGUUUGACCAUGCCACGUCAGCGUUGACCUAGCCCACCGGUCAGCCUCUGUUCCCGCCCUGUGCCACUGACGUGUGGACCCACUGGUCAGUUUGACCUGGGCCGCCCAUUGACCUGCUGACGUCAGCCUUACGUCAUGCUGACGCAGUAAGUAUUUUCUAGAAUUAAAAUAAAUCAAAAUGAUUUAUUUAUUUUAGAAAAUAUCUGAAACUUCUAAAAAUCAUAUAAAAUCAACCGUAACUCCAAAUGAAACAAAUUAUAUAUGAAAAAUGAUCAGAAAAAUCCAAUCUAUCCAUCUGUACUACUUUCAUGCAUGUUAUAACAACUUAUAGCUGCUGUUUAGCACAAAUCAUAUAAAUGGUAUUUAAACCUCCACAUAUGGAGUUUGAAUUUGAAUCUUAGAUUCAAACCAACUUCAUUUAACCUGUUGUUAGUUGCAUUAGCUCAAAUCGCAGCAUAUUGCCAUGUCAUGGUCAUGCAUCAUAUUUUUUGCAUUGCAUUGAUUGUGUUUCCUCUCUGUUGCCGGUAAUUGUCCCCCCUCAGUAGACGUGGUACCGACGAUGAGAUCGAUGACACCGAUGAAGAACUAUACUAUCUUCAGAAGUGCCAGGCAAGCAAAACCCCCUUGUUCAUUCCGAUACAAUCCCGCUCACUCGCUCCUGCUCUCUUUUACUGCAUUAGGACAACAACGAUUCAACUGUUACAUGCUACGGUAGUUGAACCCCUUUCCUCUGCAUGACCUGUCAUUGCCACAGUAAAUAGAUGAAACCCACUAGCAUGAGUAGGAGUUGUUUGAGCCCUGAUGUGCCUACUCAUUCAUGCUUGUUUGUCAUGCCUGCCAUUGCUUAGAGUUGUGUCAGGUCUGAUUCAUCAGGGAUGAAUUGGAGGUGUGUAAACAUGUCCUACCGUGUGUGAGCUAAGUGUGUGAACACGAUUUAGUAAAGGUAGCGGUGAGAGGCCAUGUAGGAGUACAUGGUGGGUUGUCUCAUUGCAGCCGUCCUCAGAAACUGAGUUCUGUGUUCGUGAUCCAUGAACAGCUACUACCACACAUUGGGUUCCGGUAACUCGGCCCCUCUCGGCUUAUUAAUCAAGUUGAUCUUUGUCCAGGAGUUGCAACUAGUUUCUGGUGUUUGUAGGUAGUGUUAGUAGUCUACCAAGUGGCACCCGGUACAGGUGGGCUUGGGACAGACUAGGCACAAUGGCAUGAUGUACCAAGUGGCACCCAGAUGGUGGGCUUGGGAACCCUGCUCACAUCGUUUGGGGCCAUGAGCGACACCCCGGCUGAAUCUCCUUGCGGAUGGAACCCGAAAAUAGGCGAUAAACCUGGAUGAGAGACUUGUGUGGUUAGUCAGCUCGUGUCCGACACCCUCGCUGGGCUUCCGCUUGAAGGUUGCCGAGUACAUGUCGUGUAAACGGCGGUAAGUGGUGAGAGCGUGUGUGAAGAAGUACACCCCUGCAGGGUUAACAUUAUCUAUUCGAAUAGCCGUGUCCACGGUAAAGGACUUCUGGGUUGCCUGUACAGUUCAUAGACAAGUGAAAGUGGAUACUCUAAAAUGCGCAAGAUAAGCGUGAGUGCUAUGGCUGGCGUUCUCGUAGGGAGACGGGAGCGGAUGCAUGGUGGUGUAUUGAUAUGGUGAAUAUGUGGACUCGUGUGCGCCAACUCAAAAGAGUUACUUGCAGUCGUAGUUCAGGAUAGCCACCGAGUCAAAGCUGGCUUGCUGCAGUUAAACCCCACCACCCCUUUGUUGAUAAUGAUGCAUAUGUAGUUAGUUCUGAUGUAAGUCUUGCUGGGUACAUUUGUACUCACGUUUGCCUAUUUUAUGUUUUUGCAGAGAGACUUCAGUCUCGCUAGUAGUUCCGCGUGAACUUAGACGUUUAGCUUGUUACCUCAGCUACGAUCUUGUGCCCUCGGCAGGAUCUGGUAGAUAGUCAGGUUUCUCAGCCUUUUUCAUUUGUAGAUGUGUGUACUCAGACAUGUUAAGCUUCCGCUUGUGCUUUUACUUGUAUGCUCUGAAUGUUGGGUCAUGAGACCCAUGUUUGUAAUAUCUGACUCCUCGGAGCCUAUUGAAUAAAAUACUUGAGUUGUAGAGUCAUGUUGUGAUGCCAUGUUGUAUUUGCACAUAUCAAGCAUAUUGUGUGUAUGUUAUUGAAAUGCUUGGUAUGCGUGGGAUCUGACUAUCUAGUUGUUUAUCCAUGGUAGCCUCUCUUACCGGGGAAUGUCUCCUAGUGCUUCCACUGAGCCCUGGUAGGUUGCUACUGCUCUGGAACACUUAGGCUGGCCGGCAUGUGUCCUUCGUUCCUGUGUCUGUCCCUUCGGGGAAAUGUCACGCGGUGUUUGCCGGAGUCCUGUUAGCCUGCUACAGCCUGGUUUACCGGAGUCCUGCUAGCCCAGUUGCUACAGCCCGGAUUCACUCGCUGAUGACCGACACGUUCGUUGUUGGGUCAUGUAUGCCUGUCCCUGUAAGUUAGUGCCACUUUGGGUUCACGACUAGUCAUGUCAGCCCGGGCUCCUUGUUAUAUAGAUGCUAGCGACACUAUCAUAUACGUGUGCCAAAAGGCGCAAACGGUCCCGAGCCUGGUAAGGCGACACCCAUGGGAAUACCAUGCGUGAGGCCGCAAAGUGAUAUGAGGUGUUACGUGCUAAAUCGGUGUGGCAUUGAGUCGGGGUCCUGACAUAAUAAUAAUAAUAAUAAUAAUAAUAAUAAUAAUAAUAAUAAUAAUAAUAAUAAUAAUAAUAAUAAUAAUAAUAAUAAUAAUAAUAAUACACCCAGCCUCCCCAUACAUUCAUGGUUGAUGUACAUGCCUAAUAGUAUAUUUUACAUUGGUGGGGAGAACAUGCAAUACCUUACGGUGAUGUAGAUUGGUGAGCAGAACACAGUAUUGCAGCAUAUAUCUUAAUUUUGUAUUUGGUUAGCACACACUAUGCUACCAAGUAGCCAAAGUUCCAAACUCAUAUCUGUAUAGUUGGUGAUCAUGUAGAUUCUUGUCGGUAUGCUAGGUGAUUACUCAUGAUUGCUUGCAAGAGUGGAUGAAUUAGAGCAUCUCUAGCCGCGCCCACAGAACGGCCUCCCCAGGAGUUUUUUUCGCGCUGGCGCCGAAAAAACAGCCUAGUCGCGCCCCCAAAAGCCCGUUUUUUGCCGGCUUGGACCGAAAUCAGCGCCGGCGGACCCAGGCCGAACCCGACGCGCUGGGUGGGGGGGGGGGGGCGAUUGAGGGCGCCGGCCUAAACACUUUUGGCGCGAAAACCGGCGGGCCCUCCUUGGCAGCGACUCGGUUCUUCUCGCCGCUUCGUCGUCCUCAUUUCCUCGGUUCCUGUGGCGAAUCAAUGCCAAAGCUGCUGCACGCUGCGGCGCCGGUCAGCCUCCAUUGAUGCCUCACGGGUGGCGCAGUGAAGACCGGACGACGCGCGUCCCUCGCCCGCCACGCGUACACACGGCGGCCACACGUACGCGCGGCGCCUCCACCUAUAUAAGCCGCCCCCAGCACGUCGGUGACCCACAUACUCUCCAUCGCUGAUGCCCGUUCCUCCCUCUUUUCUCGCCGUCUCUAGUUCACCCAUGACCGAUCGUUUUCAAGGCGACAGCGCGGCGGCGAACGGCUUCGGCCGCCGCCACCUUAACGAGGACGAAGCUCGGCUCCUCUUUGAGGCCGAGUACCCGGUCCCGCCGGACAUGCGGGUGCCCGGGGCGUGGAGGAUCAGCACCGGCGGGCUCCCGGUGCGACCGCCGCCCACUGGGGCGGCCCAGCGUGCGGAGAUCGCGCGUUUCCGCGCCUCUCUGCUGCAGGAGGCGAGGCAAGGUCCAUGGUACGUCCCCGACAGCCUGCUGUGGGAGGCCUUCUUCCGUCGCCGCCAUGCCGCGCAGCUCGAGGCCACCAACGGCGUCAUGCCCUUCGGGAGGCUCAACUCCGAAGGCCGCCGCCAAUGGUGGGGCGUGCCCGGCCGCACGCUGGAGGCCGUCCUCGAGCACAUCGAGGGCGGCAACACACCCAGGCUGGAGUACCCCGCGCCACCGUCCUUCUCCCGCCGGCGUGGGAGCUCGUGGAUGCCGAGGCACAUGGACCCGAGGACGUCCUCCUCGUCCGGCCGCUCGACCGGCUCUCCAUGCCUCGGCUCCGUUAAGCCGGAGCCCUAGGACACACCGGUCAGCCAUGACACCCGCAGCUCCGGCGUCCACAUCGCCGUCUCUCCCCCCCACCUCUGGACGCCUCGUCCUCGUCAGGCUGAAGGCGGAGCCCGGCCUCCCCGUAGAGUAUGAGGCUAUAUCCCGGUGCGGCUUCUCCGACGAGGAGGCCCUAAAGUGGGCGCGGGAUGACUACCUCCGCGACGAGAUGGUCCGGCAGUGCCGAGCCCUGGAGGAGAUGGCCGUCCGCAGGCGUGGGCGCGAGGACGAGCACGGCAUGGUGAUCCUCGACAGCGACGCGGACAAGGACGCCCCAGACCGUCCAACUAGCCGCGCCAACCUGGGGAAGGGUGCAGCAGGGACGGCGGCCGCAGAGGAGACGACGACGACGACUUCUACGCGCAGUUCGGCGUGUAGUGCUUCAAGGGCGGCGGGCGGCGAGGAGCGGCGAGGGCGAUGGCGGGCCUAGCAGCGUUUUUUUCUUUUCUUCAAAACAUUUUAAAUAUGUAUGAACUCGCCGAAGUUUGGUCGAAUUUAGCCGUGUUUUAACCGAACGUCGCCGAACAUUUUCUUUUUUUAAAACAAUUAGACGCAUCUGGGGGCGGCCCUGGGGCCGACGACUGGGGGCCAACUCUCCCCCAGGCGGCGAUUUUAGGCGCCUCCUGGGGGGCCAACGGCUGGAGAUGCUCUUAGUGCAGAUCUUUGAUACAUGCAGUUUUUGGAGGCACAACUUUUACAUAUCACUAACGUCCUAAUUUAAAAGUAGUCUGUACAAUUAAUUUAUUUCUCAUGUGCUUCACGAAGUUCUUGGUAGUUCACAUUAUCAUGAGCACAUAGUAUUUGACAUGCAUUGUGGAUCAUCUCACCCCUAAGCAGUGAACGAGUCGGAGGUAUUUGAGGAAAAUACUUGAGUUGUUGUUUGAUAAUUUAGUUCCCAAUUCUCAUUUUGUUUCUAUCUAAAUCCUGAGGCCUACACUCUGAGAACUCAUCAACAGUAUUUCAUUGGUGACAAACUUAGCAGUACUGUUGAGAGAGUAAUGCUCCUUUGUGAAUCUAGGUGCAGCAAGUAGUAAUUUGAGUUGAUGCAAGCAAGUAGAGACGAAGAACAAGAUGCUCCUGAUUCUGUAGUAUAUGUCGUAUAGUACACUGCUAUUUUUGAUUUUUUUCAAAACUAUGAUAUAUUUUAUAGCAUUUUCGGAAACUAUAGGACGUAAUGCAAAAAAACCAAAACUAGUAGCCCGUCGGCCAUCUUCUGGCCGAAGUAGUAGUUUUCGGCCAUCUUUUGGCCGAAGUAGAAGUUUUCGGCCACAGUUAGGCCGAAGUAGGGUUUUCGGCUAACACUUGACCGAAGAGUGGGGCACCUAGCCGAAAAGUUAAUUUUUGGUCAACUCUUGGCCGAAAUAGACUUUUUGGUCAAGUCUAGGCCGAAAAGUACUACUUCGGUCUCGUGUAGGCCGAAGUUGCAUGGCUCAUGCUGAAAUGUAUUUUCUCGCCACCCGUUUCCCGCCAACCCCUUUCCGCCACUCGUUUCCCGCCAACCCCUUCGCGCCAUAUGUUCCCGCCACCCGUGUCCCGCCAAUCCCUCCCCGCCUUAUUUUCCCGCCAAUCCCUUCCCGCCUUAUUUCCCCGCUAACCUUUUUCUGCCAUAACACAAUUAUUCUUUCCCGCCAUUUUCUCCUCUGUAUCUAUAAAACCCCCUUCAGGCGAAGGUGGAUAAGCAUUCCAGUGUAGUGUAGUCGAGAUGUCCCAUUAUCCGUUCGAUCGUAGUUUUCACCCUAGGAUGAGCAGCACUCUUCUGAGUCUAGUUACCGAUUUCAGGAUGGACAAUAGGAUAGUUCCAUGGGACGAACUCACCGGUAGUGACACCAUAAUGAAUGAGUUGGCUCACCAAUUACGUAGGUUUGGGUGGCCUGAAAGGACCUAUGAGGAGGUACGUCAAGAACUUCUUAGAUUGCAUGAAAGGUGGAAGAAGGUAGUGGAGCCGAAGAGUGAAACUUUCAGAAGGACUGCAGCAAAGAAUACAUUUUUAUGGACUGAGGAGAGCGAGGACGACGAAGAUACUUCAUGUCGCCGCUUCCGGGUUCUGCAUCGUCGAAGGGCAAGAGUUCUGCAUCGUCCAAAGGCAAGACUUCUGCAUCCUCGAAGGGCAAGAGUUCUGCAUCCAGCAAGGGCAAAAGUUCUGCAUCGACGGAGGGCAAGAGGACCGCAUCGUCGAAGGGCAAGAGGGCUGCAUCAACGGAGGAUGACGAUGAUGACUUCAUGUAGUAUGUAAGAUGUAUUCCAGUUGUACCGUUUCAUUCAGAUGUAUUUGCAUUAUUAGUUUGUAUUGUAUUAUGUUCUAUCUGAAUUUCAUUUUGUAGUAUGUAAGAUGUAUUGCACAAGUUCAACUGGAAUAAAAAUGCGAAUUAAUAGUAAUAUGUCUCUCGCAUACAUAAAACAAUAUAUGUCUCCUGAUCAGAUAGAAGGAAGUGCGAUAGUAACACAUACAUGAAGCAUGUCUCAUACAUAAAUACUGACACACAUAUGGGAAUAGUCUGAAACUAACAUAGAUAAUGAGUCAUACAUAGAUAGAUAAGCAUAUCACUGCGGGGGACGGCGACGAGUCUGGGUCUUCCUCGGACGAGGACCGGAAGGCGAUAAGCGUUGAGGCGGUGGACGAGGCUCCCGAUAACCACGACCAUAGUUAACCUCGUCUGUCACGGUCUAUGUCUCCUGCGUCGGUGGUGGUGGUGGAGUGUGAAACACUGUCUACGAGAAGCCAUAAAUGUUUGUAGCAUGGUCAUCAUCCUCGUGGUCGCCCUCAAAGUAAUCAGCACCACCACUAAGGAUGGGUGACUGCUCUGAAUGCAUGAACGGUUGCGACUGGUUGCCGCCUGCGGUAAAGUAAAACAUGUAAAAUUGAUACAAAUGCAUGAACGAUUACUACUCUGUUGAAGAGAAUGUAGUGAGUAGGGUUACCUAGUUCCAUCUGCUGAUGCCAGUAAGCGCUCCCUAGCUGUGAAGGAGGUGGCUCAUGCCAGGAAGAGCUCCCUGGCUGUGAAGGAGGUGGCUCAUGCCAGGAAGAGCUCCCUGGCUGUGAAGGAUGAGGUUCUUUACGAUGCAUAGAAGGUCGUGGUUGUGAACGGUGCACAGAGGGUCGUGGUUCUGAAUGCUGUACAGAGGGACGUGGCUGACGAUGUGCUGGAGGAGGAAGUGCAACAUCCGAAGACCGUCUACAUGUAACAGCUGCGUAAAUCCCGCGUAGCUUGUCAUCAAGACGCCUCAACCAUGAGACGCCCUCUCACAGUGGGAUAGUUUCUCCCCUCUGAAAGCGCCGCAUUAAAGCGGAAACCUCCUCUCGCGCCUGUACUGUCAAGUCACCCUGUAGAUGAAGAGUUAACCAAUUAUAUCCUCGUUGUAUGAUAGACACCACGAAUAGACACCCAAGCGAAUAUGUCCAGAUUAACAAAAGACUCAACAUAUAAGAACCAAGGCAUUUACCGCGUGGUGUCUGCUUCCCACAACAGAGGCAGUUGGGUACAUAUCGCUGGUGAGAGGGGCUUCAAUCUGAUCAGGAGCAGCUGAUGGAACCAAGUAGAUCCUUGUUGUAUGCCGGUAACGCUGCAGAUACAACCCGAACAUUUCCCAGUUAAAGGCCCGAACCUCACCCCAGAUAUUUUUCGCAGCGGUAGUCCAUUCGUCAACGUAAGGCGUAAUGCUCUUAAGCCAGUAAUCCAUGGACUUGUUUCCUCCUAGGCGACUGUCCCUGAUAUUGACAUGCACAAUACAUGAUUAGGUAUAUUAUGAAUGUAUAGCUGACAACUAAAAUAGUAUUAGUACUUACUUGUGCACGUGGUCUGGCAAGUGUGGAAUAUCUGGAAUCUCAGGCUCUUGAUAUAGACCGAACUGUCUCAUCACCCUAUGAAGAGACAUCUCCUCAACCGUCACAUCGAACACCAACUUGGCCUUGGUCAUCCAAAAGUGCCGAUCUCUCAUGCAUAAUCCAGAAAUCCCAACUGGGUACCUUGAUGAUAUAGCCUGAGCCGAGUAUGGCUCCCAGAUAACUUGAUCCUCGUGCAAACUAUCAAACUGCACCGUGAAGGACGAGUAGCAUCCCCUAACCUGACUAUGCGCAAAUUGUCUCUGUGCAUGACAACAAAUAAGCAUUAGUAAUACUAUUGAAUGGCAAGAAAUAAUUGAAUUAAUUAUUACUUAAUAUAAAAGUACCUCUCGUCGUGCCCAAACAGAUCCCAUAGUAGGUAAAUCGCCGAUAGCAGGCACAUAAGCCCCAGCUAAGUCCUCCAAACCAACAGGUUUAUCAACAUAGACAUAGGGUCGUCCAAUAGGGAAUCUCUCGUAUGACCAGAGCUGCAACAAUAAUGGGGACACGAAGGAGAUAGCAUCCAACUCAAUCUAGCCACAGGCAGCCAACACAUGAGAGCAAGGUAGGUGCAACAACUUCGGUUUGUUGCAUGUACACUCACACGUUGGAUAAAAUUCCGUUCCAAUUUUUACCUCGUGUGUCUUCACCUCAUUUCCAGAACCAAAACCAUCGGUAGGAAGUUGAACCUCAUACCUCCUUUCUUGAUUCCCUAUGAGUCUGACAGUGUGCUUCUUUGCUUUCUCUAUCUUCUUUGCCAUGUAUUCCAUGACACGGCUACAAUAAGGUGUGUUCUGAUUAUCUUCAAUAUGCUUCUUUGCUAACUCGUGCCUUUCUCUGAAAUAUCUCAAAGUGCCGUGGAAUACAGCCUCCACAAUAGCUGUGAGUGGCAAUGCUCUAUUCCCUCGUAGCACAAAGUUAUACACCUCUGCAAGAUUGGUUGUCAUGUGGCCAUACCUAGCUCCAUGUGUGUCAUGCAGCAAAGACCAAUUCACUGGAGGCUCUUUCUCUAUCCACUCAGAAAAAUUCUUUAUUGCCCUUCCCUUCUUUCUCUUAGUAUUAGGAGGGUCAAUUGCUGGCAAGUCACAAAGACCUACUGGCUCCUCUAGCUCCGCGAUGAGUGCUGCUAAUUUAACUUGAUCUUCUUCCAUUUUCUUCCUCGCACGGACCUGCUUCUUAGUAAACUCAUCUAGUUUUGACCAAAUAAAUUCGUAUUUGCGCUGUUGGCUCUGCUUGCAUAAUUUUUUGAACAAGUUCAUCAACCGCUUGUUCUUGAACUGUGAGAAAAAAUUAGCCCCAAGAUGGCGCAUCCACCACCGGCUCUGCAAGUCCCUCCAAGGUGUUGGUUCGUCAUCUGUUAGAUUACGAAGUGUCUUCAUGGCCUUCAAUAUACCAGCAUGUCUAUCAUGAAUGACACACACGUUUGGUCGGUCCUUCACGAUGGCAAUUUUCACUUGGCGGAAGAACCAUACCCAGCUGAGAAAGUUCUCACCCUCUACAAAUGCCAUGGCUAGUGGGAUGAUUUGAUUGUUCCCGUCCACACCAAUAGCAGUCAAAAUUUGCCCUCUAUACUGACCGGUCAGGAAUGUACCAUCCACAAACAUAACAGGAGGACAAUGCCGGAAAGCUUCGAUGCACAUACCAAAAGAGAAGAACACUCAUUUCAACACCUUGAAAUCAGGUAUACUCAGCAACCUCAUGUGUUGUACGUUCACAUAAGUGCCGGGAUUCCUCUCCUUCAGUAUGCCCAGGAGACGGACAACAUUAUCAUAUGAGUCGAAGAACGUCCCAAACCUUUCCUCCAUAGCCUUCUGCUUAGCCCUCCAAGCCUUCCCAUAAGGAAUGACAUAAUUCCAUCUGACCUUCACUGCUGUCUAGAUGUGUUUUGCUUCCAUAUCUUUCUUCUCUACUAUCUCAGUAUACAUGAGUUGCGCAAUUAGACUUGAAGUCAGGUUCGGAUGCUUCACCAACAGGUUCUUCCUCACACAAUUAUGUGGGACAACAAUGGUGACAACCCAGUGGAUGUCAUACUUCGGCACAUGCCCGUGCACCUUCCCAGGACAACUUGUUUCAACACAUUUCACGGUAUAGUUUGUUGGACUUGAUAUGUGUGUCCGGAAAACCCUCUGCGUAGACAUAGCCCACUUUAUCACCGCAUACUUCAAUUUUUUCUUUGUAUCAAAACAUAGCCCCUAUCUGUACUUGGUUCAGAUUAUACUGCCAUGGAGUCUCAUGGCCAUCGUUGACCGUAAGGCCGGUGGAUAUGUCUUGCUCCCAUGCAGAAGGAAUCGGUACCUCCACUUCAUCCUCAGAAUUUUCAGAAUCCAGUUCCUCCACCAAUCCAUCCUCGUCCUCUUCCUCCAUCACCCUCUGCAUUUCAUCCCCUUCCUCAUCCCCAUCAGCAAAACCAGAACCAGCUAAUAUUAUCGACUGGCUACUCUGCCCAGUAUCAGGACCACAAACAUUGUGUGGUACGUACUCCGACUCUUUCUUGGGUUGGCUAGCAUACACAUCUUGUGGCUGUGACCCGGAUAAAACAAUCUCGGUCGCCACUUCACUGCCCUGACCGGUUUCAUACCCCCUGUGGAGUUGUACGGCAUUCUCCUCCUUCGGCACAGGUUGCACAAGUACAUAUGGGUGGAUUCUUUGGUCUCGGCAGCGUCUUAACAGGGACAACCAAUGUUGGCUCCUAUCUACCGGCAUCAACUCCCACUUGACAUUUUUACAAGAUUUGGUCCACAAUGCGUCAAUACUGACGGAACAUACUUCAGGAUCAAGCCCGAAACUAGUUGUCAACCAGUACUUCAAUUGUAUAAUGUCCAGUCUGUCCGGGUCUGCUAGUGUCAUGACGCCAUUUUUAAACUCGCUAAGAUCAACUCCCAACUCAUUAUAUUGAACGUUACCAGCGCCGUAGUAAACAGUCAAAUUUACUGAUUCAGACAUUUUCACCUGUCAGACAUUGUCAUCUUCUCAUUAAUCACAACGAACACUAAUAUUACCCGCUACACUCACUACGCGCUAAAAUGCCACCACAAACAUAUUAACACUAAGUAAUAAACUAUACAAUUUAGAGAAAAUUUGUGACGCCAUGGUUAUACCUUCGAAGCGUGCGUCUCUUCCGGUCACCGGCACCGGCCACCGGACAACGGCAGCACCGCCCACUCGACGGCCGGAGGUUCAACUCCGGUCACCCCCCAAGCUGCUGCUCCUCCUCACCACCUCCUCCUCCACAGCUGCUCCUCCUCCUCACCACCACCUCCUUCCCAACCGGACCUCCUCCACCCCACCAUGGCUCCUCCCCCAAGCGCACAAAAAACUAUCCCAUAACAAAAAAAAACAC